CCGGGGGCUCGAUCCGGGUCGAGUUUGUUCAUGUUCCUGCAACCGGGUUGCGCCAGAAGAUCGUGUACUGUAUACUGGGCAUACGGUACAGGCGGGAUAGGAUCAGCGUGAUCAGGCUCGGCCUGUGCGGGAGCCGCUGGUUCGACUGGUGGUGGUGGAGGCGGUGGCGGCUGCGGAACAACGACCGCUGCUUCUUCUUCUUCUUCUUCUUCUUCUUCUUCUUCUUCUUCUUCUUCUUCUUCUUCUUCUUCUUCUUCUUCUUCUUCUUCUUCUUCUUCUUCUUCUUCUUCUUCUUCUUCUUCUUCUUCUUCUUCUUCUUCUUCUUCUUCUUCUUCUUCUUCUUCUUCUUCUUCUUCUUCUUCUUCUUCUUCUUCUUCUUCUUCUUCUUCUUCUUCUUCUUCUUCUUCUUCUUCUUCUUCUUCUUCUUCUUCUUCUUCUUCUUCUUCUUCUUCUUCUUCUUCUUCUUCUUCUUCUUCUUCUUCUUCUUCUUCUUCUUCUUCUUCUUCUUCUUCUUCUUUGGUGGUCUUGACUGAGUUUUGUGUGUGUGUGGUGUGUUUUACAAAAAACAGGGAGAGUGUUGUGGCAGAGAAGGUGAAGGAAGCUCACCGGAGGGUGAUGGUUGCAAACCACCCGGACGCUGGAGGCAGCCACUAUCUUGCGUCUAAGAUCAAUGAAGCCAAAGAUAUGAUGCUUGGCAAAUCUAAUAACUCCGGUUCUGCAUUUUGAUUGUCAUGAUGAGCUUGAUAAACGUAACCCAACGGAACUCUGUAUUUUUUAUUUGAAUUUGUCUUGAAUGUUGCCACCAUUUCAUGAUGUAUAUCAUUACGAUUCCAAAGAAACAUUGAUCAAACAACUCUUUCUUCUCUAUUUUUGCCAAGCAGAUAACUUUUCUGCAUGUAAAUGUUUAAUGGCACCCAUUACAAAGAGCAGCUACCUUAAAUAAUUUUUUUGAUUUUUUAAAUAUUUUUGUGAUCUUUUCACUAGUGAUGCGGUCAAUGACUGAACGCAAGUGCCGUAAAAGAGUUGCUGCAAAUCUUGUUAAUAACCCAUUAUUUAUUUCGAUUAUCACAUGUACUUGUUUAAUGGCUGAAUAUAACACUUCCUAUGUCAAGAAAACCGUUGACAAAUUCCCUUUCACUAAACUCUUUUAAGUCUUUAGAAUGUAAAAUGUGAUCCAAAAUAAAAUCNNNNNNNNNNNNNNNNNNNNNNNNNNNNNNNNNNNNNNNNNNNNNNNNNNNNNNNNNNNNNNNNNNNNNNNNNNNNNNNNNNNNNNNNNNNNNNNNNNNNNNNNNNAGCUUGGUGAUGUGACAAGGUCCCGCGCUACCGGAUAGGUCGACUCUAGAGGAUCCCUCUUCUUCUUCUUCUUCUUCUUCUUAUUAAUUAACUAAUAUAUUUUUUACCAACAGGAUAUUAUCAAUCGAUUAUUGUAUACAUCCGCAUCGAAACCGAUAUAGUAAAUAACUGCUUACAAACGAGCACAACCUUUUUUAUAAUUAUGGAAAUCUGCUUUAACAUGACUACUUCGAUUUUCAUGAGCAAACUCAAAAUUCAGGUAUAUCCCCAAAGUAAGGCAUCUCCGAAUGGAUAUUAAUUGAAAUGUAGGGAUUUAUUUGAUUAUGUAUUUGCCAUAAUUUUUGACAUGCAGUCAUAAUAUUGUGUUGACUAUGACAUGUAGCCUAAUCGUUUUGUCAUACAUUGUAUUGCCCAAAUUAGAUUGUCUAAAUUUACAGCUUGAAGUACUCGAGGACUUGUUUGGGAACCUAACAAAUCAUUCAAUUCGUGGUCAUCCGUUUGAAUUGAACAGGCGUACUGUUUGUGGUAGGGUCGUCCAGUCCCAACCCAAAUGGGUUGGACACAACUGUGCCGUCCCAAGGUCCAUUAAUAUUAUAAAAAAUAAAAUCUUAUACUGACCUUUUCAAGAAUGACAACAUUGAGCGUACAUUUUAAAAGUUGAGCGUACAUUUUAAAAGUUGAGCGUACGUAAAAACGAAAGUUGAGCGUACGUAAAAACGAAAGUUGAGCGUAGUUCAGUAGGUCCAAUUUUUUUUUUUAAGUUGAGUGUAGUUUUUUCCCUAAGGCCAUUAAUUUUGUCGGUAAUGAGCGUGUCUGACGUAAAAACGAGAACAAACUUUAAAAAUUAAAUUUGUUGUUUUUAAAUUAAAAUUAAUUUUUUUUUGUAUAUAUCGCAUCAAUAUAUGAAAAUGAGUAGUCCAGUAAAGUCCCCCUCCUAUAAAUUUCUACAGAAUACACACCAUAAUGUCACGAGUUCUUGAGACAGAUUUAUUAUUUAUCUAUUUUUUUUAAAAAAAAAACUCGAAUACGAACUUUAAUAUUGCAAAACUCAGUAAGCUCCACGAGUAAUAGACCCUUUAAACACAAAAAGAUUCUCACCAUUUUCAACACCAUGCCACCGAAGACUACAGUUCUCUCGCAUAAUCCGUUGCUUGUGUACGAAUAUAUACUCGUCUCUUGGUAACAUCUUGGUAGCUUGUAACCCUUCUCUCAUCUCCGAUAUGGUGCAAGAGUCAUUAAUCUCCACAGGAAUCCUCGCACCGUUAAAUAAACUCGAUGACGUCUGCACCAAGAAACUGAGUUUCCUCACUGGAGCAACGUCUUUGGCUCGGUUGAUUGACUUGAGAAACACGACAAUCUCUGAGAAUUCUCUGAUUCCGUAUUCGUUUAGGUUUCGAAAAUCGUCGGCUAGCUCGAUCCCGGAGAAGUAUAACUGCAUUCGUUUUAUCGGUGUGUUCUCCACAAUGUGGAUCUUGUCCUUCAGGCUACUUACCUACAAAAACAUUAACUUAUUAAUCAAGAAACUUAAAAGACGGUAACAAGAUGUGAGAUGAAACAUUAAAAGUUACCGUUUCGGUUUUGUCUACUUCGAUGUCGAACUGUUUUGACGGGAACUUGACGGUGACGUGGAUUUUUUUAACAGCGGGGUUAGUAUAAGAGGGCGCGGUGAAAAGGGGAGUUACGGUAAGGUCGAUCCUGGUGCCGUGUGAGAUGAUUGGGUAAUCAUCGAUGUCGAGACCGUCGAGGAGUUCCCAACAAGAGACAAAGAGAGUUAAAGAAGAUGUUGGGAUCUGAAGAAACUGUCCUAAUCGCUUCUUAGACCAUGUGCAACGGCGUAUACACGUUGCGUCUCCAACCAUUUUUUAGCAAUUAAGUAAAACAAAAACACAUAAAAAAGAAGAGAGACGUCGCGAAAUUAGAGACUGGAGAAACGUUUUUGGCGACCACGUGGCGUGUUGUUAUUGGAACCAAAAAAAUGAGAUGGAAGAAAAUGCAUUCUCUUUUUUUUUACCCGAAAACUUUGUUUUUUUUUCACUCUUGUUCUCUCUGUCGGCGAUUGAAGCUUCGUUCUCUCCGUCGGCGAUUGAAGCUUCUGUCGGCGAUUGAAAUCAAAACAGUCUUCGUUCUACCCGAUAACGAUGUCCUCGCAACAUCUGCUUGGCGGAAUGAAGGAUCAAUUGAAGCUUCUGUCGGCGAAGGUAAGCAAAGCGUCAAAUUGAAAUUGUUUUGAUUUUUGUAUUUAGAUUCUAUGUUUGGGAUGAAAUGGUUUAAUAAAAGGGUGUAGAUUUAUCGGGUUUAAGUUGUGAUUUGAUUUCUAUGCCGAUUUGGUCUGGGAUGAUAUGGUCUUCGACUUUGGGUUUCAUAUCGCCUCAAUGUGGAAUUUUGUUUUUGCUUUGUUUGUUCUUGUUUUGAGUUGUAAUUCGACAAGAUAGACAAGAGGAGAAUUCAUGCUCAUUAACUCUUCUUGGUGUUUCAGUUAAUCUCACGAUUACAUUUGGAUCAGUUUUGGUGUGUUUAAGUUUGUCUUCCAUCUUUGUAUCAGUUUGUAUAUGUUUAAGUUUGUUUAUAGUUUGACACGUUCAUUAACUCUGCUUGUUUUGUUUAAGAAAUAAGUUCUGAGCAUUGGUACUUUAUGGUUCCGGUUGUAAGCUAACCUGAACGUUGGUAAUAGUUGGUCAAGUUCUUUAUAUUUGUUUGUUUUCUUUAUAGUUGAACUUCAUUAACUGUGAUUGUCUUAUCCAUGUCUUGUUUGUGUAGUUGUAGUUCAUUAACUGUUGUUUGUAUAGGUUCUCUUUGCUAACUCUUAUUUAUUGUCGCCUUUGUUCUAUGCACGCCGAGUGAAUGUUGCGGAAUGACAGGAAGAGGAGAGAAGAAGCACAUCUGCAUAAGGCUAUCCAUCUUCAAUAUCCUGAAAAGGUAAGGUACAAUCACUUACUAGGUAGUUGUAUUAAAUGGGUUUAGGUAGUGUUAGAUAAUAAAUGGAAUAAGGGAUUAGUUAAUGUAGAAGGUAGAUAUAUGUCUAGUCAAGUCUAAACCCUUGUGAUGAAUGCUUCUUGUAUAUGGUUGUGUUUAAGGUAGGCGUAGAAUGAUGAAUGCUUCUUGUUUGUGGUUUUUCAUGCUUCUAUAAAUUCUUCUCUUUUUCGCAUUCCUUUCAUCCUGUUCCCUCUUUCUAUUCUCUCUUUCUGUUCUCUCGUUCUCAUCACUUUCUAUUCAUAUUAGUCAAAUUUUCUUCAACCAUUUCCCUCUUUCUAUUCUCUAUUCUAUUCAACCAUUAUGUCUUCUCGCUUCCCAUUUAACAACCCCUCAAACUUUGUUGAUCUUUUACAAAGUCAACAAGAGAGUGUAAACCCUUACCCAAAUCCAUACCCUUCAUUAGAAAACCCUGCCUUUGGUACCCAAGCUUCCAUCGAUGAAGUAGAAGAGGUUGGAGUGACGAGCAAGGUGAUAAGACGACCUUGGAGCCUUGCGGAAGAUACCCUUCUCAUCAGCGCCUGGUUAAACACCUCGAAGGACCCGGUUGUAGCAAAUGAACAGAAAAAUGGAACUUUCUGGAGCCGCAUAGCUUUGUAUUUUGCAGCGAGUCAAAACGGAGGAGAAGUCCGAGAGGCAGGACAAUGCAAACAAAGAUGGCACAAGAUUAAUGAUCUUGUGUGCAAGUUUUGUGGGGCUUAUGAGGCUGCAACAAGAGAAAAAACUAGUGGUCAAAACGAGAAUGACAUUCUCAAAAAUGCGCAUGCUAUUUUCUUCAAUAUCCAUAAGAAAAAAUUCAGUAUGGAACACGCUUGGAAGGAGCUGAAGAACGAUCAGAAAUGGUGUGAUUUGUCAGCCAUUAAAACCAAUGCAAGCUGUAAAAGGAGGAGACCCGAUGAUGUAAAUGCAGAGGGGAAUGAAGAUGGAAACAAGAAUGGUGCAGCUAAUCAGGGAACGGUCAGACCUCCUGGUGUUAAAGCCGCAAAGGCUAAAGGCAAAAAGGUCGACGUGGUUGAGGCUGUUAAUGUGUUCAGCAACAUGUGGGGUAUGAAAAGAGAAGAACUGGUUUUGAAAAAAGAAACCCAAAAGAUGGCUCUUCUUGAUUCCCUUAUUGCGAAGGGACCCCUUUGUGAAGAAGAAGAAGCUCUGAAGAUGCAGCUUAUCUCCGAAAUGAUGCAGAAUCAGUGACUUGGAACUUGUUACAUGGUCAUGUUUGUAACCGUUAUGUGUCUGUUAGGUGUCUGUUAUUUUUAUGAUGUUUGUGUCUGUUAUGUUUCAGUUUUAGAGUUCUCUGUUAUGUGGUUAGUGUUUAGUUUGGUAUGGUUCAGUUUCAUAAUUGUCCCUUAUGUGUAAUGUUCUAAUGUUAGAGGAGAAUCUUUAUUGACCUGGCUUUUAAACUUAUGUCUUUGUAUUUCAGUGUUCAAAGUGUGUUGUGGAGACAUAAAGUGAAAAGAUAGUCACGGGUUCAUCAAAGUAAAGAUGCAGCUUACACAAAGAGACAACAACAUGUGGGUGAAAAAUUCAAAGAGAAUUAUUGUUCUUUUGGGUCCAUAUUUGGCUUUGUCUUUGUAUUAUUGUUCUUUGUAUUAUUGUCCAUCUUUCUAAGAGAAAAUGAUUCUCCAUCGUUCUAUAUAUAUGUACGUCGUUUUUAAUAUACACAAUGUCCACAAACUCUUUUUCUCAAUACAAUCUAUACUCUCAUUUUCAUUCUCAUUGUGCAUUCUCAAAUUCCAACCUCUCUAAAUUACCAAAUCCUCGUACUCACUUUAACCAAAUUCUCUCAUCUCUUCUAUUUUCUUAUGGCUUCUUCUUCCCAAAAUCCCUUUGAUGAAACUUAUGAUCAGAUUUAUGAUCAGUUUUACGAAGACACAUUCCAAAACCUCUUAAUUGAUUUAGCUGAUCAAGCAGAGGCAACCUCAUCCAAGAAGAAAAGAGCUUUCAUAGAAAGAAACCGAGAGGAAGGCCACAUAAGAUUGUGGAAUGAUUACUUCAGCGAAAACGCAAUUUACCCGGAUCACCUUUUCCGGCGACGUUUUAGGAUGAACAAGGCAUUGUUUUUGCGUAUUGUUCAUCGGCUCUCCAACGAAGUCACUUUCUUUAAACAGAAGCAAGAUGCUCGGGGUAGACUUGGUCUAUCGGCACUUCAGAAGUGUACAACCGCAAUUCGUCUAUUAGCUUAUGGCACGGCACUUGAUACCGUUGACGAAUACCUACGUCUUGGUGCAAGUACAGCCCGUUCAUGUCUGGAAAAUUUUGUUGACGGAAUUAUAAAUCUCUUUGGCGACGAGUACCUCAGAAGACCCACAGCAGACGAUCUUCAACGUCUACUUUAUAUGGGAGAAGAACGCGGAUUUCCCGGGAUGAUAGGAAGCAUUGACUGUAUGCACUGGGAGUGGAAGAAUUGUCCAACCGCUUGGAAAGGCCAGUAUACACGAGGUUCUGGGAAACCGACAAUAGUCUUAGAAGCGGUAGCUUCAUACGAUCUCUGGAUUUGGCAUGCCUUUUUCGGACCGCCAGGUACCCUAAAUGAUAUAAAUGUUUUGGAUCGGUCGCCCGUUUUUGAUGACAUUAUAAAUGGUCAAGCUCCGAGAGUUAAUUUUUUUGUCAAUGGAACGGAGUACCAUUUGGCGUACUAUCUGACAGAUGGUAUAUAUCCCAAAUGGGCAGCUUUUGUCCAAUCUAUACCUAAACCACAAGGUCCAAAAGCAUGUUUAUUUGCUGAACGCCAAGAAUCUGCCCGUAAAGAUGUCGAGAGGGCUUUUGGAGUUUUGCAAGCUCGUUUCGCCAUUGUCAAAAAUCCAGCUUUGUUUUGGGAUAAAGAAAAAAUUGAAAAGAUUAUGAGAGCUUGUAUCAUACUCCACAAUAUGAUAGUUGAAGACGAACGAGAAGGAUACCAACACUUUAAUGUUCAAGAAUUCCAACAAGGAGAAGGAGGCGGAAGUUCUAAUGUGGAUUACUCGUACUCCACAAACAUGGCAACAAAUAUUAUAAAUAUGAUGGAUACCCGAAGAAAAAUUCGAGCACCAGAUAUGCAUCACAAAUUAAAAGCUGAUUUGGUUGAACACAUCUGGCAAAAAUUUGGUUAAGCUCAAAAAUCAAUCACAAGUGUAAUGUAUAAUAUUUUAUGUUCUAUUUGUUGUAAUGUUUUAGUAUUUCUUCUAAUGUUGUAAUGUAAAAUAAAAACUGAAGUUUAAUGUAAAAUUUUUUUUUUUAUGUCAAAUUGAAGUUUAAUAAGAAAUAUAAUGUAAACUUUAUGUAACAUAGAAGUUUAAAGUAAAAUAAAAACUAGAUUUUUUAAAAAAAAAUUUUAAGAAAUCAUUAGAAUUUCUCCCAUUGGAGCAUACAAAAAUACAAAGUCUCUCUCUUAGGUUUCUACUACUAAAACUAUCCAUUUUAUUAAUAAAAAAAGGGAUAGAGACUCUAAAUGGUCUCUCUCAUUGCACAUGCUCUUAAUGUUCAACACAGAUUCUUGUUCGCUGAUUUCCAUGGUGAAUUCUUGGGUGUAUGAGACAAUUGUCACAAUCAUAUUUACAAAAAAAAAUGAUGUUUAUGGGAUAAAAAAUGAUACUGUGAAUUCACAAUGCGUUAUGUAUAUAUACAGCGAAAAGUACAAGUUGCUGAAUGCAUGUAAAAAGGACUUGGGGGAAAAUAAGAAAUUCAUGAUAGUAACUUGAUGUGUAGUUGGGUCUUGUUUGUGUCAUUGUCUGUGUGUGUGUCUGUUACUCUGUUACACUAUGGGUCUAUACGUGAUAUUCGAUCGAAUUUGGCAUGAUAUUCGAUUAGGUAGUUAGCGAAAAUAAUACUACUUGUAAAUCAGCUUAAGGUUUGAGACGUGAGACAUGAGUCAAAAACUGGAUUCAUUGUAGAGGAAUCCAGAUAGUUUUUUUCUUUAAAGAAAGUAGUAGUUGAGUGAAGAACUGGAGGGGAAAGAUUUUUGAUUUGUAUAACUGUUACGAAAUUAUUCAACCGAUAAACCAAAGAUAAAUAAAAUCAUGACAACAUAGAUUAUAACAGCUACUGCAAAUCUAUGUAAAAUCAUCUGUUAUUUAGCCUAAUAUUUAUUGGCCUCAUGAGAGAUUAUUCUCUCUGCCUCGAGAUUUGUUUAACUUCUGCUUGCAAUAGAUAUGCGGGAAACUAUACCUGUCCAACAGACUAGAAUCGCCAGAGAUGUCAGAAAAUUCUUUACAGUAAAAAUUGAUUCAUUCUUCGGUAUCUCCAACAGAUCCUUCAUCUGCAAUACCAUUAGCACAAUAUUGAUUAGCUCAUCUCUGUGACGUUUAAUCAAAAUCGAGAUUGAAAAAAGAUUGUGGCUACUAACCUUUAUAGGUUGGUUCCAGUUCUUCUUGAUCCCUUGAAGAUGCCCUCUACCAACAACUGCCACGACCGAGCUAUGCUCACUUGCAACUCUUAACAACAUACAUGCCAUGUACCUAACGCAACAAUUUUCGAAAUAAUCAGGAAACUACUGUUCACUUUUAAAACUUAGCAAAUAAGAGAAACAGAGAAAUCUCUUAUGAUCAUCAUGGUGUUUAGGACUCCAGGAGAGACCUUUUGGGUUUCAAGAAGCAUCAUAUAAGAUACACAUUCAACAGAACUACUACUGAUAAUGCAAGUUUUAGAGAAAGCCGUCAAUUAAUCUGAUGAACUUUAUAUUUAGAGAGAGAGAGGAAUAAAAUACUAACUUAUCUCUCUCAUGCACAAGUGUAUCCAUGAGAGAUGGAAACUCCUUGCUCAUUUCUUGAAUCACCAAUGUCAGCAUAUCCACAUCGUUCAUAGCUUUCAGCUAAAAUCCAUACAAUUUAAUCAUUACUCAUUAUUUACACUGACUUGAAGCACAUAAACUUUAAAGAGAAAACGAAAAAGAAAAAAGUAAGCAAAAGACUUUGUACCAUCUUGUCAAGUUCCUCAGGGCUUGGUAGAAAGACAGCUUGAAACACUAAGCUGUACAGAAACUUUACUUUGUGCCAUAGAGGCAUUUUAGCCCAAGUUCUCUUUAACGUGAUCUGUUUCAAGUGAAAAACUGAUUGAAAACUGAAAUAACCAAUGCAUAACAUUCCUCAAGAGAAAGUUUUAAGACUAUAAACACAUAUUCUUGAAUCACCAAAAGCCACCUGUACUGGACGAUCACCUAGAAAAUCACCUUGCCACCAUAUUUGUCUGCUUCUUCAUAUGCCACACGAAACUCAGCACCAGGUAAAACUUCAAGCUUGCUGGCGAUCUAAACAUAACAUAAGAAAAGGAUGUAAGUUAACGGUACGAAAAUUUAAGCUAUCAUCAAAGAAGAUAUAAACGGAGAAAGCAUACCGUUGCAAGAAACCAUCCAUAGACUAUUCCGAAUGGAUUGUGUUUCUUCUUCCACAUGUCUAUCAUUUCCCACACGGUCGGAACCUGGAAAAAACCAAGAACAUCGCAACUUUCCAGAAUAAAGAACAUGGAUACUGCACAAGAAGAAGAGCUACAAGAUAUGUACAUCUGGUAGAUAACUACGUGUGAUAUAUCAUCGCAUAGAAAAACAUGUGAAGUUCAUUCUCUAGACAAAGUUUUCCAGUAAUUCCAGUAGAAAUUUUGGCUAAUCUUAAGAUGAUGCACAGUCUAGUCCAGGGUUAUCACAUUGUUAAACUAAAACCAGAGAAUUUUAUAGGCAUUAUGUAGAGCAAAAACCUUCACAGCCUGAGGAGUGAGAAUAGACAAUCGGCUUGGACACAACUCUACGAAGACGACCUGCAAUACAACAGCCACGUACUUAGAGAGUGAGAGAAAGAUAUAUAAAAUAGUUCACUGUAAAAGAGAAGAACCUCUGGUUUCAUGUAGCUGACUAUAGCUUCAACUUCUCGACAUGAUUCCUAUAAAACAAAACAAAAACGGCAACGAUCAAAACAACUACACAAUGCAUUAUGCAUAUGAACAUUGAUCUCAAUUUCAAGUCAUUAUAAACCAUAUUUUCACAAAUUCACAAUGUUCCUUGCAUAAAGCUCAAAUCUUUCAACAAAAAAUCACAAAUUCAGUCAGAAAGUUUCAAUUUUUAAAAGAAGAUACCUCUGAUACAUGAGCAGUACCAAUCAAAUACACAUCACAAGAUCCUCCCUCAGCUUUGGAAUCGCACGUUAGAACCAUAACGCUUUUCGCAUAUUCCUCAGGCAGCUCCAGUUUCGUCUUCGUCUCCACAGCAAAGUCACCACCAUCCUCUCCACUGUAGAUACCAUCGUCACCAGACUCAACGAUCGAACCGACGCCGGUUAUCACUGAACCGGAAUCGCUAUGUUCUUCUUCCUCCUCCUCGUUCUCCACAUUCACUAUGCUGUCGCUUAAUGAGGUUUCUCCGGGAGGCCUUUGGUCAUCGACGUGAACGAAUUCAUCUCCCAAUUGAGCCUCCGGCUCCAACGGUGUUACCGUCGGUUCCAUUCACGACGAGGAAGGAGUGGGGGAAAUCGGUUAAUUCGAAGACUUUAAGGGUCGGAAAAUGUAGUUUACGAGCUAAGACAAAAGGUAUAACAAUGUCAGUUUCUUUCUUUUUAAUAAUUUAAAUCUCAUUGAUUUUGUUACUGGUCUAUCAUUUUUUUUUUGACUGUAAUAAUUAUCUUUUGACAUAUUUUAUCGAUUAUUUAAAGAGAUAAUUACUAAAACAAUCUCAAACAAUUUUCUAGGAUUUGAAAGUUGGGGAAGUAUGGUGAAAAAACCUUUAAUUUUUAAAAAUUCAUUUUUAUUACAAAAUUGCCAUUAUUACAAAUUUUUUAAAAAAAAAAAGAAAAAGGAAUCACAACACAAUCUACCCGAUUUCUCAAACCCUAAAUAAACUUUCAUUUUCAUCCAAACUCUUUCUCUCUCUUUCCCCGGCGGCUCUCAGGCGAUUUCCGGCGGUGACCUCAGUUCUCUCCGGCGAGUCUUCCUCUUCCGGUGUUCUCUGCGCCGAACUCUUCGUUUCUCCCCUCCGGCGACGAGACGAGCCGAGACGACCCGAGUCUUCCUCUUCCUGUCUUCUUCUCCGGCGGCUCUGCAAAUUCCGUUAAUUUCCGGCACGACCCAAGCUCUCUCCGGUGAGGUCUUCUCUCCCCGUGUUCUCUCCGCCGAAGUAGAUUUUGUUUUUAGACCUAGGGUUUUGUUUCCAUAACGAUGAAAAAGUUUUUAGAUCUAGGAUUUUUGUUUCAAAAAUCGAAACCUUCUAAAAGUUUAUCAGGUUUUUUUCAGGUUUCUCCUCCUCCGGCGUCUCUCCUCGAGCUCUCUCCUCCUCCGCCGUGAUAUCCUCUCGAGCUCUCUCUUCCUCCGGCAACGGUGACGAUAGUCUCGAGCUUCUCUCGGUAAAUAGAUCUAGUGUUUUGUCUCGAAAUUCGAAACCUUCUCAAAAAUCGAAACCUUCUAAAAUUUGUUCAUGAUUUUUUUAGGUUUGACGAUUCCGGCGAUGAUUCCGGCGACGAAUCCGAGAACCACAUUUACAAAUCCGGCUUUGAGGUAUUUACUUUGUAUUUACUGUGUAUUAUCUUGGUGAUAGAUUUGUUUUAAUGUGGUGAUAGAUUUAUUUACUUGAGGUAUUUACGGUGAUAGAUUUGUUUUAAUGUGACGAUUUGAGGUAUUUACUUGGUGAUAGAUUUGUUUUAAUGUGAUGAUAGAUUUAUUUUUUUGUAUUGUCUUGAUUUUUUUAAAAAUUUGAUAGUUAUGAUACAUUUAUUUAUAGCUUGAUGGUAGAUUUAUUUCUAGGUUAAAGUAUUGAUUGUUUGAUGGUAGAUUUAAUUGUUACUUGAUGAUAGAUUUAUUUCUAGGUUAAAAAAAUUGAUAUAUUGCUUGAUGGUAGACUUUUGUAGAUUAGCGUUUUAUGUGAUGAUGAUUUAUGAGCUUUUUGUUUUAAACAUGUUGAUUUCUCAUUACUCACUUGACCUUUCUGUUACUCGUAGAUUCUGAGAUUGCAAUUAGUAGCUUAGAUUGAAUUGGUUUUCUUUUUCGUUUGUAACUUUGCCAUCAUGAAGCUUGUGAGUUUACUUAGCCUUUUCUAUUUAGUUCAUAUAUACAUGCUCAAUAAUGUUUUUAGCUGUUCUGCCUUUGUGAUUGUUUGUCUACUUAUCGUGAUGAUGAUGCUGAAUCACAUACGUCCCAUUGUCUUUAUUAUUGUGUAAUGAAUGUUUCUUUGUUUUGCAGGUUGCUCAAAAGAUAGGAGCGAAGGUAUGAAGCAAUGCAUAUUUGAGAAAUACCUCGGACAUGUUCAGGAUUUAGCUCUCUUUUUUUGUAUUGUGAGCAGUUUUGUACAUUCGGUUCUCUUUUGUAGUAUAAUGUAUGUGAUAUAUGUUGCCGCUUAUGUAAACAACCAGAAACGAAUGUACGUAUAAUAAAAAGAUCAAUAAAGCUUCAUGAUCAUUUUCAUGUUUUGACAUUUUCGGGUUUUAGAGAGAAUCCUUUGGAUAUCCCUCUUGCAGGAAUAGAAUUCUACAUGAAAUUGAUAACACCAAAACAAUUGUGGCGAAAGGAUGACUUCAGAUACAAUUGGUUAGGUGAUAUGGUAAGUUUACUCGUUAUGGUAGACUUAUGUUAAAAUUAUUAGGAUGUUGUGAUAGACUUUUAGAACUUUGUGGUAGAUUUAUUUUUACGUUAUGAUAGACUUUCGUAUAUUUAAUAUGAAGUUAUGAUAGAUUUAUAUAUUUUAUGACGUUAUGUUAUGGUAGACUUAUGAACUUAAUGGUUUGUUCUGCAACAUAUUGUGGCAGAUAUGAAUUUGUUCCGACAAAGAGCUUCCCAAGAUUCAAAUCUGUAUCGGACUGAAAUGAUUGCUUUCCUUGACCCAUUGUUCACUUCUCUUUGGUGCAUCUUUGGAGGAGAUUGAAGAAGUUAUUGAAGUUACGAAAAAACAGAUCUACAACAGUUUCUCUUCGUUGAGAUGGAGGAGAUCGAUGAAAACAGUUCAAUCAAGAGAAGAAAAUCAAGAGAAGAAUCCCAGAAAAGUUAGGAGAGAAUAAAGAAACGAAAAUCAAGAGAAAAAACCCAAGAAAAAUGAAAAGUACAUGUUUCUCUUCGUUGAUGGCGGCCAACCCUAGUUUCACCAAUGAAGAAUAUGAAGUUAAUGCAAGGGCAAAUUCGUCUUUUACCACUCAUAGGUCAAUAAGUCUACCAUUAUAUUCUAAUAAGUCUACGAUAGACUUAAUAAGUCUACCACCAUGGUCCCAAUAAAUCUAUCAGCCGUGGCAGAUCUGUAAAACUCCAAAAAUUGAAUAUGUCUAUCGUUAAAAGAAAUAAGUCUACCAAUGUCAAAUAAAUCUGUCAUAACUAUAAACAUAUCUAUCAUAACAUGCAUAGGUAAACAAGUUUAUCGGCAAAGAAAAUAAAUCUAUCACAGGUAAUUAAGUCUACCAUCAAAAUAUUAAAUAUAUCAUCACUACGUAAAGAAAUAAGUCUACCACCACUAAUAAUAAGUCUAUCACUCCAAUUAAAUCUACCAUAUAAGACAAAUAAGUCUAUCGUAGACUUAUUAAGUCUUUCGUAGACUUAUUAAGUCUUUCGUAGACUUAUUAAGUCUUUCGUAGACUUAUUAAGUCUUUCGUAGACUUAUUAAGUCUUUCGUAGACUUAUUAAGUCUUUCGUAGACUUAUUAAGUCUUUCGUAGACUUAUUAAGUCUAUCAUCAUAGCAAAUAAAUAUAUCGUUCCAAAAUAUGUCUACCAUAACAUCUAUUAAAAUAAGUCUAUGAUAGAUUUAUUAAAUCUAUCACCAAAGAGUGAUAGAUUUAUUUUAAUUCCCCCGUUUUUUUGCUGACGUGGCAAAAAUUCAUUAAUGGCAUUUUCGUUAUUACGUUUUUGUCAACACAUGCGAAAAGGAUAUAAUAGGUACAAAAGAUUACUUUAGUAAUUUCCAAAAAUUGGCAUCAUUUUAGUCAUUUUCCAACUUUUGAAGGUUAUUUUAGUAAUUCUCCCUUAUUUAAAAAAUGGAAUAUUUUCUUCAUUAUUAUUUUUUGUUUCUCAUUACUGUUUUAUUUGGUGUUUAAAGCAACAAAGUUUGAGUCAUACAAAAAGAAACAAUAAUGUCAUAUAUUCAUGAACUUGGUAUACAAAAUCAUGAACUUACUUAAACUCAACAUGUUAGUCAAUUUUGGAGAGGAGGUUUAUUUUAUUGACUACACCUAUUAUUUUAGUCAACCUAUUUUUCGAAUCUUACCUUACUGGAAAAAAAAAAAGGCAACAACAUUUUUUCUCCUGUCAGUAAAAGAUAAAUUAAUGUUAAUAUUCACAAGUUAAUUUACAUCUUGAGAGUAACGUCGAAAUGAAUGAGAAAUGAUAUUAGGCUCAUUGCAUCAUUCUCUCUGACAUGUGGGAUUCGAAUUUUCUACCAUUUUGACGAAAGUGAACAUCCAAACACAAUUUAGUUACUAGCCUUCAACUGUUAAACAUAAAUAAAUUUGGAUAGCAAAUGUAUACAUCAUCUUUGGAUUAUUGAAAUCAAUGAACCAAAAAACGCGAGCGCUACAAGAGAAAGAUUUAUCACAAAACACCUAUAAGUAACCUUGACUUGAGUUUUUUUUUUUUUUUUUUUCAGACGUAAUAUUGUAAUAAGCAUCCAGAAACAUAUAUUAUACUGAUUAUAUGACGUGUGGCCUGUAAGACAAAACAAAAAUGACUGAGCAGGAGCAUCCAACUGUAUGUAGAAGCUAGGCUUGUUGGAUACGAAUUGGAUAGACUGUGUCUGGAUGAUAGUUUGAUCCCAUGAGUCAAUCAAAGUUCUGUAAAACUCCUGCUGCACAUGAUGAUGCUUGUUUUGCUGGUUGACGUUCCGAAGAAAAUUAACCGUAGAACAACUUGUUAUCUUAGGAAUAAUUUUGAGGAUUAAAAAAAAAAAAAACAGAUGAAAGAAAUCUACCUGAAAUUGAGAUGGUACAUGUUCGAGAUGAGUAUCCAUGUUCAAUGGGUCCCUUGUUUAUGCAGCUUUUGAUAAUGAUGGUGAAAGGUUAAGAAAUUUGUGGAAUCUCUUUGUUAGUUUCCUUUCGAGAUCACAAGCUGGAACCCAAUCUCAACUACAAGGUUUUUGCGACAAGCCAUAAAACCAUGUAAGAGAGCCUAAACAGGUUAAACAAUGUGAGAACCGAGGCAAGGAAAUAUGUAUCAGAACAGGAAUGGUGAGGACCUGGAAGCUUACAAUACUAUCGGUUUGUUGGACUAGAUUUGCAUAGUGUGACGAAAGACCAGCUUUACCUAAUUGUUCUGUUCCUGGCUUCCCUCCAUUGUCUUUGGAACAUGAAAUGACAUCAACAAGAAAACAGAACCACAGUUGGAGGAUCAGUUUAAACCAGAGAAUAUACUCAAGAGUUUCCCAAACCACAACAUUCUCAGGAGCUUUGAUAAAACAUGGGCUUUCAAAUCUAAGCUCCAAAACAAACAAUCACUGGAAAGAUUCUCUUGGGGGCAAGAUAACAAACUAAACUAUAUUGCUUGGUGUUGAUAACAAACUAAACUCUUAAAUAAUUUAUUUAUGGAGUAAGAAAAACGCUUUUACAUUAAGAUCCUUGAAGAAGGACAUAAAACACAUUACAAAGAGGCAAUACUUUCAACGUGUUGGGGUGACAUAGAGACGCAACAUGCCUUUCCGAAUCCAUAACGGUGCCUAAACCCUUGAUCAUCUCCAAUUCCGUGGAUCCUAACUCUUCUGAUGCUUUUUCUUUCUACAUUGUAGUAGAAAAUGUAGAAGGGUUGGACUUUACAUGACAGCUCUUUUGGGGCAAAAAUGAUUUCACCAGCUUUGUUGGUGCCCGGGGAAGUCAUGUUCACCAAAGUUAAGGGGAGUUCAAAUGUUUGCUUGGACCAGUCAUGUGUCAUGACAUCCUCUAGAAUCCAUAAAUCAAAUCUAGAGAAGCUCCAAGUGCGUCUUCCAAAAGAAGCUAACUUACCUUUGUAUUCUAUGAAUAUUGAAUUGCUAUGGGAAACCACAACAUCCUUAGGAGCUUUGAUCAAACUCAGCCUCUCGGAUCUAACAUCAAAACACACAACCACAGGAUUCGAUCUCCAUCUUGGGGCCCAUGCACCAUAAUACAAACAACCAUUGAUGCAUAGUCCACUAGUUACAGGGUAAUAAAGCGGGGAGGUAACCUCAUUGCGUGAUAAUCUUCCUUCUCCUCCAAGCCUUAUAACCUCGUGCACUAAAUAACCACUAUCCAGCUGAUCGUCAAUUGCUGACACAAGGGUCAAUGCUUUGAACUGACCAUCAACAGGAUCGUAUCCCAAGGAUGUGUGGGGUCCUUUGCAGGGAAAGGUAAAUACUUGCCCUGUGCUAGGGUUGCAUAUAGUCAACCGAUGACGAGAGCAAUAACUGAGAAAGCCAUGGACGGAAGGACAGUUGGAGCCGAUAUCGAAGCGCACGGAAGGUAUUUUCAUGUCGAGGUUGGCAACCAAAGAAGAAGAUUCCUCUCCCUCGUGUGAAGACGAGGAGAUGAACCGAUAAGGCAUGCCAUCACCCUUGAUGAAUAAACCGUUACCGAAAGCAAUUGUAAACCGCGACCGCGUCGCAGAGGACAAAGCGUAGUAAGAAUCGACGAAUCUUUGGCUUCGGAUGAUGGAAGACCACAUCUUAGACACGCAUCGGAACUUCAUAAGAGACUUUACUGGUAAUCUAGACAGAAUCUCCGCCUCUACAUCAAGAGGGAUCAAAGGUAGCUUACAACUUUGACUUGUGCCUUUCUUCUCAUCGACCUCGCUAUCGUUGCCAUCUCGCUCCUUGCGUUUCUUUUGGUGUGGCUUUAUCCCAAAUCUCGCAGGAAAACUAAAUAUCUUUAGAUCAAGAGGGAUUGGAUCUAACUUUCUGCUGCCGCAGAACAUGUCCUUCUCAUCAUCGUCCUCGCGUUUCAUGGUGGCUCCCAAAAUUUUCCGACGGUGGAGAUCCAUAUUUACUCGCAGAGAGAUCCAAUAUUUCCUUUUUUUUUUGGUUGUUACCGCGGAAAAAAAAAGAUUUUCCUUCUUUUUGUUAUUGUUAUUGGGAAAAACAAAUAAUUUACUUUUCAGACCGAACACAACACAUCUUAGAGCAUUCACAAUGCAAAUACCGUUUUUGAUCUCUUCCCAAUUUUUUUAAUAUUAAAAGUAGGGAAGAAACGUCUCUAUCGGUACUCAUUAAAGAAACGUUUCCAACAAAUUUUUUCUUCUACUUAUAUUUUUUAAUUAAAAAAAUUGCUAAAGACCUAAGUAAAUACUCGCGUUACGGAUGCUCUAACCCAUAUGUCUGAAGAGGUUUCAAAUCUUUUACUGGUUUUUUAUUUUUAUUUUUAUUUUUAUUUUUUAUUUAUUUAAUAGAACGAUCUGUUGACAAAAAAAAAAAAAACAGAACUAUCUAAGGGGUGUAUUGGAUCCAUGAUUUUAAAAAGUUUAAUAGGAUUUGGAUUUAAAGAGAUUUGAGGGAGAUUUUGAAGAUAUGAAGAUUUGUUUUUGGACUUUUUAAAAUAAUCAUUGAGAAUUUUUAGUGUGAUUCUUUAUAACAAAAAAAGGAAAUUAUAUGUGAAAGUUUUAAAAAAUUGGGACUGUUGUUAAGACUUUUGUUAAUAUUUACGAAGAACAACUUCACAGUAAACACCUAUUGGUUUAUUCAAAGUCAUGAGUCAUUUUUCUUUGUAUAAUAAUAAAUUGUCUCUAGUAAAAAUUAAAAAGACUCGAAUUUAACGAAGCUUCCAUUGCUCAAUGUCUUUCGAAAUUGGUGACAGCUGAGCAGAAAUGAGUUUUGGGUAAUCCAGAUUGAGUUCAGAGGUAGCUUCCAAUGCUUUAAUGGAGAUUGCGAAAUAAGGUUCUGUAGCAAUUGAAUUUGCAUAUAAGGAGAAGAGGUUUUGAAGCGACAACAUUGGUAUGUAGUUAUUUCCCAGAGGGAAAAGCUCUCUUCCUCUCUCUCUGUGCGAAUGUAAUGGCGAUUUUGCCAAUUCUCUUCUCUCUCUUCAUGAGCGCACUGUUCCGACAGUUUCUCUCCGAUUUCUUUGGGUCAAGUUUGUCGGUUUCUUUCCGUUGAGGAUUCCCUCUGGCGGUUUUGUUGGUUAAUUGAUUUAAAACCGCCAUGGCCCUCCUUCACUAUAAAGCCGAACAGUUGCUUUUUCUUUUUCCAAUUUCAUUAGUUUUUCUGGAUUUUGAGAACGAUGAGUGAUAACCUUCGACGACGCAUGCAAGAGAUCGACUUGGGUGCAGCACCGAUUGCUCUUCCGGAAGCAGUGUGUGCCCAAGCGGCGCGAGUGAACUGGUUCUCCAUCGUUGAGGUUUUGGUCAAUCCAAAGAAGAAAAACAUGCGAGCGUUAAUUGGACAAAUGCCUCGACUAUGGGGUAUUGCUGAUCAAGUGGUGGGACGGAUGGUGGAUACUACGAAGUUCCAAUUCGUCUUUUCGUCUGAGGAAGCAAUACAUUUGGUUUUGCAUCAUGGUCCUUGGUCUUUUAAUGAGUGGAUGCUUGUGACUCACAUGUGGAGGCCAGAUAUAACUGAUGCUGAUCUCAAGAUCAUUCCGUUCUGGGUACAGAUACGUGGAAUCCCGCUGCAAUAUCUUACUACAAUGAUGUGAUUCAUCAGUGGUUCAAUUGGUCCAGUGGUGUCUGUCGACUUUGAUGAGAACGCUAAUCUCGCUGCCUUUGUUCGUGUCAAGAUCAAUUAGAGCAUUGAUAAUCCACUGCGUUUUCAACGCAAUUUCCAGUUUUCUCCAGGAGAGAACACUAUCCUUAAGUUUCAGUAUGAGAGGCUUCGCAAUUUUUGCAUCAAGUGUGGAAUGCUUGAUCAUGAUUCCAAGGAAUGCCCUAUGAACUUCGAUGAUGAUUUUAACGAUCCAGAUGCACAGCAGUCCCCAAAUGAAGAUCACACUAAUGGCGAUGAUGCACAUGAACGUGAUACUACUGCUUAUGAUUCUGCUGGUCUAAUUGCAGGUCCACCUUCCGUUCCUAUGAUGCCAGAGGGUCCCCUCAAUCAUGAUAGGGACAUGGCGACAGAGACAUGGCGUUACCUGCAAUCAAAGAUGGCAAAAUGCAAGUUCAAAGCAGGCGACUUCGGAAGAAUAUUUGCGGAAUUUGUAAACCAUGAAGCUGCACCACGUUUGUGCAUUGAAAAGCGUAGAGAGAUCGACACUAUUUUACAUCAUUAUGGUAACAAUGAUGAUUCUGACUCUGAGGAAUCAUGCCAAAUUCUGAAUGAAGAUAUCAAACCGGAUGUGUUUGGGCACAUUACUCCCCUGCCUUAAAUGGAGUUCUCGGAUAUGUCAUCUGAUUUCAAUGUUCCAGUCAAUACGGAUAAGAGGAGAUUUCAAGAAGAGGAUUUUCUGGAUGGUUUUGUUGAUUAUGCAGAAGCUAGUACAGAUUUGGCAACUAAAAAGCGUCGGCGUAUGGAAGUGCAAGAGAUGUUGGAUGAGCCUUUAAGGAGCAUUGACGAUCGGGUGGACCUGUAUCGGCCAAGAAGAAGGAGAAACGUGACACACAAGGAUCAAGUACUGAUCAACCACCAAUGGACGGAGGCGCGGGGGGCCCGGUACCCCCACAGUCAUCAUGAAGAUCAUAUCUUGGAACUGUCAGGGCCUUAUGUUGCCGCUGACAAAAGAAAGAUUGAAGGAGUUGUGUAAGAAAUUGUGUCCAGAUAUGUUGUUUUUAGUAGAAACCUUAAAUAAGUGUGAUGUUGUGCGUGAUGUGUGUGUUUCAUUAGGAUUUGAUUUCGUGUUUUCUGUACCUCUUCGUGGCAGAAGUGGAGGUAUAACAGUGUUAUGGAAGAAAGAUGUAGUUUUUACUAAGUUGUUUGAUUCUGUAAGGAUGAUUGAUGGUUAUGUUUGAAUACAAUGGCAUGGCAUUUUAUUUGUCUUGUGUUCAAGAAGAGGAUUAAAAGAUUUAAACAAACAAGACAAGGGCCUUGGCUACUAGUUGGGGAUUUCAAAUAUUGUCAAAUGAUGAAAAAGAUGGGGGUCUACAACGAGAUGAAAAGAGCUUUGAAGAUUUCCGGAAUUUAUAUAGUGUUUGUGACUUCUCAGAUUUGCGAUCUAUUGGUGAUAAGUUUUCCUGGGUUGGUCAACGAGGGAGGCAUGUUGUCAAGUGCUGUUUGGAUCGUGUCAUAGUUAAUUAAUGGUUGGCUAAGUUCCCUGCCUCUCAAGCACAGUUUCUUGGCUUAUAUGCGAACAGACGAUGCCCCGUCCUGUGAGCCAGUAAUCUCAGUGUGCAUUGAUAAUGAUCACCCGGAGCGCUGCGUGGAAAUCGGUGCUAACUUGGAAGAGCCCAUCAAGUCAGAGUUAAUCUCUUUCUUGAAGGAGAAUGUAAACACAUUCACCUGGGCUGCAGAUGAUAUGCCAGGGAUCGACAUCAGCAUCGCCUGUCAUGAGCUCAACGUUGACCCAACGUUCAAACCGGUGAAGCAAAAGAGACGCAAGCUGGGACCUAAACGGGCACAAGCAGUAAACGACGAAGUGGAUAGACUGUUGAAAGUCGGAUCCAUCACAGAGGUGAAGUACCCAGACUGGCUGGCUAAUCCGGUGGUGGGUCUGAUCAUCGUCCCGUCUUGACAAUUGUAGCUUUUGUACAUCAGAAAUUUAGGAAGCCUUUUCGUUUUGAUAAACGUUUGCUACAAGUUAAAGAGUUCAAGCAAUAUGUUUCCCGAGGUUGGAAUGCAUUUAAGUCUUCCCCACGAGCUUCGAUUAUGGACUGCAUUCGUGAAUGCAGGAAAUCAAUGUCUUUUUUACGACAAAAGGCAAAACUAAAUUCUGCAAAACAGAUAGAAGAACUUCAAUUGGAACUUGAAUUUGCUAUGUCUUCUCGUGAUAGUCAAGUUCGAGACACCAUUCCCCAAAUCCGUAAAGAACUAGUACAAGCUUAUCGAAAUGAGGAAACAUAUUAGCAACUGAAGAGUCGAAACAAUUGGCUAAAUCUGGGAGAUAGGAAUUCACAGUUUUUUCACGCUUGUACUAAAGCACGUUUUGCUCGUAACAGAAUUCACAUGAUCAAGGAUCAUAACGGUGUUGAGUAUCAGGGAGACCUGGCUAUUGGUAAACAUGCAGAGGAAUUUUUCACGCAAAUAUAUAGUAGCGACAAUAACCCUGUAAUCCCUGCAAUUUUCGAUGAAUUCAAACCCAUAGUGACGGCGGAAAUCAAUGAUCAUAUUACAAGAGAUUUCACACGUGAGGAAAUCCACGAAGCUGUAUGUCAAAUUGGAGCAGACAGAGCACCUGGACUAGAUGGUUUAACAGCAAGAUUCUAUCAAGAAUGUUGGGACAUAGUAGCAGAUGAUGUGAUCCAAGAGGUUGAGUCUUUUUUCAGAAAUGGCUAUUUCACUCCGGGAAUCAAUCACACAAAUAUUUAUAUGAUUCCUAAAACAAAAAACCCUGCAACACUCUCUGAAUAUCGUCCUAUUGCACUCUGAAAUGUACUGUACAAGAUAGUUUCAAAGCUUCUAGUCAACCGGUUGAAAUCAUCUCUUGAUCAAAUUGUAUCUGAUGAUUCUCAGUCUGCAUUUAUUCCAGGAAGACUGAUUACAGACAAUGUUAUGAUAGCACAUGAAUUGAUGCACUCUCUCAAGUCUCGAAAACGUGUAUCACAAACUUACUUAGCUGUCAAAACAGAUAUCAGUAAAGCAUAUAACCGUGUUAAAUGGAAAUUUUUGGAACAAACUAUGAGAGCGUUUGGCUUUUCAGAAGUAUGGAUCAAGUGGAUUAUGGCUUCAGUUUCCUCUGUUACUUACUCAGUCCUGAUUAAUGGGAAACCUCAAGGUUUGAUUACACCUCAAAGAGGAUUAUAACAAGGAGAUCCAUUGUCUCCUUAUCUGUAUAUUCUCUGUGCUGAUGUUAUGAGUCACCUGCUUGAUGUUAAUGUCCGCAAAAAGAAAAUACAGGGGAUUAAAGUGGGUAUUGGGGUUCCUUCUAUUACACACUUGUUGUUCGCAGAUGACUCGCUGUUAUGUUGUCGAGCUAAUCAGCAGAACUGUCGAGUACUGAGCGAGAUCUUUCGAACCGAUGAACUUUGCUCGGGUCAAAAGAUAAAUCAAGACAAAUCGGUCAUCACAUUUGGAUCACGCAUUCAGGGAGAUGUUCAAGACCGAUUGAAGAAUAUUCUCGGAAUAACUAAACACGGAGGCUGUGGAAAAUAUUUAGGAUUACCUGAACAGUUUAGACGUAACAAGAAGGAGCUUUUCAAAGACAUUACUAACCGAGUACAUCAUAGAACGUCCCAUUAGAGUGGUCGUUAUUUGUUGGCUGCAGGAAAAGAGGUUUUGAUAAAAUCUAUAGCCAUUGCAACCCCAGUAUACUCAAUGUCGUGCUUUAAAUUGCCAGCUGAAGUGAUUAAGGAUCUAGAACAGAUUUUAAUGCGCUUUUGGUAGGAGAAAGGAAAUCAAUCGAAAGGAAUCCCGUGGGUGGCAUGGAAGAGACUACACUACUUGAAAUCAGAAGGUGGUUUGGGAUUCCGUGAUCUAUCCCUCUUUAAUGAUGAAUUGCUUGCAAAGCAAGCUUGGAGGUUAAUUGAAAAACCAGAUUGUCUGUUCUCUAGACUGUAUAAGGCUCGUUAUUCCCGUGACGAUCAUCUUUUCCAAUCCAAAAAACUGACUAAUCAGUCAUAUGGAUGGUCUUCCAUCCUCUCUGGAAUUGAACUUUUGAAAAGUGGAACACGUGUUAUCAUUGGUGAUGGGAGGGACACAAGACUUUUCGAGGAUAAUUGGCUACCUACUCACCCCCCACGUCCGGCUCAUCCUACAGACAGUACUGCAUCACAUACAGUGGAUGAAUUAAUUAUUCAGAGUGGCUGUGUUCGUAGAUGGGAUGAUGAAGCUCUAGCUCGGCUUUUGACACAAGAGGAUGCCGUCCUUGCAAAGUCCCUGUACAUACGACAAACAAUAGGUCAUGACAAUAUGGUGUGGAAUUAUAGGAAGAAUGAUAUUUAUACCGUUUCAUCCGGGUACUGGUUUGCUCGACAUUCUCCUUCUAUUAAAUUAAAUGCUCCCCCAAUUCCUCAUGGUGAUCCCAAAUUGAAAAGUCAAAUUUGGAAACUGCCUAUAAUGCCUAAAUUAAAACAUUUUCUUUGGAGAGUAUUAUCUAAGGCCUUAGGAACUGCAACAAGGUUAAACACUCGCGGUAUUCAUUUUGAUGAUACGUGUCAGCGUUGUUGUUCGGCAAGUGAAUCCAUUAACCACUGCCUUUUUACCUGCCCCACUUCCGUGGCCAUUUGGAGGAUGUCGAAGUUACCGUUCUCCUUCCUUUUCAAUCCCUUUCAUGAUCCAGAAGAAAAUAUAAGGAAUAUUGUACAAUUGCAGGGGAUUUCGGAUAUUCCAAGAAAACAACGUCUUAUGCCAUUUUGGUUACUCUGGUGUAUUUGGAAAUCACGCAAUGCUUUAAUUUUCUAGAAACAGGUCAUAAGCCCAAAUAUCGUUGUGGAUUUAGCUUGGGCGGAUGUAACAGAAUGGAUGGAUUCAACUACUGCUGCAAAUAAUGUUCCUCAAUAUUCUCCAAUGCUUUCUCAUAUGGUUCCGCAAACUUGGACACGACCAGAAGAGGGAUGGGUAAAAUGCAACUACGAUACUGGUUUUGACAUAUCUUCAGGACGAGUUGUUGGCGGCGGCUGGAUCUUACGUGAUCAUUAUGGUACAGCUAAAGCUUGGGGCUCAGCACCAUUGGGGUUCUCUUCUACAGCUCUGGAGGCUGAAGGAAAGGCUUUAUUAUCUGCCAUUCACAACACUUGGAUUAAAGGUUUUCGGCAUGUUUACUUCGAAGGCGAUUCAAAACAUCUUAAUGACAUCCUAAAUGGCCAGAUUUUGCGUGACAUUUCUGUUUGUAAUCUGGUUGCUGAUAUUCAUGCAUGGGAAAGACGCUUUAACCGUUCCUGUUUAUGCUUUGUCAAACGCAAAGGAAAUGAAGCUGCUCACUUACUUGCAAAGAGGGGAACUUUGAUUUCUAAUUUCUUUUCGGGAUGUAUUUACCCACCGGUUUGGUUAGCCCAAACUUUGUAUUCAGACUUUGUACUUUCAAAUUAAUAAAAUUAUAAUUUCGUCGAAAAAAAAAAAUCUAAGACUUGAGAAUCAAAUUCUAAAAUGGUGUUGGAGAGAAGUCAAAAAUUCUCGAUGGUGCUCACUUAUUCUAGAAGGUGUUCUAAAAUAAGAAAAAUCAAAAAUACCCUUAAUUAAUCUUUUACCUUUUCAAUUUAUUUUUCAAUUUUAAAUAAUUAUUUUUUCUUUUCUCUUUCUUCUGACUUCGUCCAAAAUCUGGAGAUUUUUUCUUUCACCUAUUCCCUUUUCAAAAUCAAAAUCUCUUCUUGUUAAAAAAAAACAGAUUUCAUAAAUUGUUUCAUUGCUAAGGUUUAUUCUUAUUCCAUCUCCCUUUUUUUUCAUUUGAUAUGUUCUUCUUCUUCUCCAUUCUCUUCAACGUUUUCCUUUCUCUCUCUUUUUUUUUUUUAUUAAAUGUGAUUUCAGUUUGAGAUACAUUUUUGGUAUCAAAUUCUUUCAAAUCUUGAUUAUUUUUUUAUCGGGUUUUGGCAGCUUUAACCUGUUUUUGAAAUCUAAUAGUGUUCAAUAGCGUGUUACAUUAAUAAUCAACAGAUUGCAUAAAUUGAAUUCUGAAUUUGUAAUUGACAGAGAUGGUAGAAGUGGUACAACUUGCACAACUAGUAGAAUAUGUACCGUUGGUACAAAUAGUACAACUAGAUCGUUGAUACAACUUGUAUAACUAGAUAUUAUGAUACGACUAGAACAACUUAUACAAUUCGAACAACCAGUCCAAAUGGUACAACUAGAUAACUGGUACAACUAGAUCGUUGGUACAACUGGUAUAGCUUGUACAACUAGUUUUAGUGGUAUGACUAGUAUAAAUGGUACAAUUAAUUUUUGCUAAUGUUUUUUAUUCUUUUUCAUGAGACAAUUGAUAGUAUUUGUGGCAUGGUCAUACAUUUUGAUUAUAGGGAUAUUAUUCAGAAGAGGAAGAUGCAAUGGAUUCGGAAAGACCUUAAUAUUUAUUCUACUGUAAUGAAAGCAACUUUGGAGGAUGUCACUUAUUCUCGGCUGAUUGACUGAAUACGUAGGAAUAUUACAUGGAUAAUUCUUAUAUAGAUAACUAUGAUACGUAUGACAAUGUUGACAUUACACAUAUUGUACAAGCCGAUGAGGUUGUAAAUGUUGAAUGAGAAGAUGUAUUGAAUCAGACUGUAGAUUAAGAAUUUAGAACUAAGAAAGAAGUGAAAGAUAUAGUGGAGAAAAUUUAAGAGUUGCAUAGCCUAAGAAUUCAUGUUUUUCUCGGUUAGAGCAUACCAGAAAAAUGCAUUCAUGCUCUCUAUUAACUACAUCUACAGCUAAAAAUAAAUAAAAGACACACCACACUUGGUUGCAAGACUUCAACCUCAAAAGUUCUCGUAGACUUGAUUCAAAGAAUACUUUGUGUUUUGAUUUCAUCUGAUACGAUUUUGUACAACAGGUUCAACUAGCCCAUGAAACUAAUAUUCAUGAUUUUUGCUCUAAAUGUUACUGGAUGGAGCAGUGGGCUGUUUAUUCAGUAUCUCAUAAUUUAUUCAGUAUUAACUGGAUUGUUACAAAAAAAUGAUUUAAAACAAAAUUUGUAAACAUUUUUCUAUACAUAAUCGGCCAUAGAAAUGUGGGAACCGAAAUCCACCGCAACGUAAAAUAGGAAAGUUUGAUUUGCGAGGAACCGAGAAUCUUGGGGAGAAAACGAAAAGCUAAGUGAAAAGAGAUCGAAAAAGGAAACUAGGGCUAAAAGAGAACGAACUUUAAAAGAGAAGAAGAAAAUUGCGUAUUGUAUUGAUAUUGCGAAUGUUUCGAAUAAUCCGAAUCCUCUUACAAGAGAGGAUAUCGAUCCUUAUUUAUACUAAAACAUCCUAAGUCCUAAACCACCUAACUUUCGAUGUGGGAUUAAGGUCUUUUCCUUUUUCCGCCGACUUUUCCAUAAAUCUUCGAGUAAGCUCCAGAACCUUCCGUAAGUCGGUGUCUUCCUCCCAGCUCGGCCCAAAUAUGUCCUUCAUUCUUCGGUUUAGCGGUUUUCCUCGGUUUAGUUUAAGUUAUCGCGAUGUUUCGAGAAGUUUACGAAAACAUUGGUAUUUUCGCGGAAAGACUUGACGAAGAACGAAGUGAAAUCAUACGAAAUUGAAGAUGACAAGUAGCUCGGCAUUUCUUGAUGGCCAGCCAUGCCGAGCUACUUGCUUCCCAUCCAGCUGUGCGUUUAGCUCAGCAUUUAGUCGAGGAGGAAGUCCUCCGACUGUCCGCGGAACGCGUUUAGCUCAGCAUUUUGAGGUGCGGAGACCAUGGAACAUGCUUUACAAGUAGCUCGGCAUUUGAAAGUGAGCAAGUAGCUCGACAUUUUUGUUUGGGCAAAACGCCUAGCUACUUGUCAUGCCUAGCUACUUGUAAUUUGCUUCCCACGGCUGUUCGGUUCGGUACGCUUCAGCAUGAACGGGACAGACCUUACAAGUAGCUCGGCAUUUUUGGUUGGACAAAAUGCCUAGCUACUUGUCAUGCCUAGCUACUUGUAAUCCGUCCAUCUUCCGCUGUCCGGUUCGGUACGUUUCAGCACGAACAGGACAGUCUUUACAAGUAGCUCGGCAUUUCAAGCUGUGCAAGUAGCUCGGCAUUUUUGGUUGGACAAAAUGCCUAGCUACUUGUCAUGCCUAGCUACUUGUAAUUUGUUCAAAGAAUCGCGAUUCCUCCGAUUUUUCGGUUUAUCGGAAAAAUCGCUCAAAGAGUCGAAACUAUUAGCUCGGCACGAAAGUAGACAACAUGUAGCUCGGCAUGAAUGGUGAUGGAAAAUGCCGAGCUACUUGUCUCCUUGUGCCGAGCUACUUGUAUUUUUCCCGGAAAAUUGCAACUUUCGUCGGUUAAUCGGAAGAAUCUCCCGAAAGACGAAAUGGUCGGCUUAGCAUAAAGGGAAUGUGCAUGUAGCUCGGCAUUUUUGGGCAAGCCAGAUGCCGAGCUACUUGUCUUCGCUUUGGCCCUGCUAAUAGUCUUUCGUUCAAUAAAUCGCGACUUUUUCGGUUUAUCGGAAAAAGCCCUCCAGGAGGCGGAACGAGUAGCUCGGCAUGGAAGGAGAGCAAGUAGCUCGGCAUAUUGUGGUGACAGUGCAUGCCGAGCUACUUGUUCGUGCUCUCUCCUUCCUUGCCUCGCCAGUUGGUUCCUGCUCGAAGAAUCGCGACUUUUAUCGGUUUGUCGAUAAAACCUUCCGAAAAACAGUUUUAACGAUAAAAACAAUUCAAGAGAAUUAUUUUUCCGAAUUUCUUAUUCAAAUAUGGAAACUUUUUCCGAUAUUCAAAUAUUUUAGUCGUUAAUUCCGGAAAUGUGGGUUUUGACCCCAACAUUUAGCCCCCCAGCCCGUCAAUAUCGGGUAUGAUCUUGACGGGGUGACUAAGGAGUGUAUAAUGGGAUUAAGGAGCUAAAAUGCUUUGACCCCAACCUUUCGGGAACUUUCGACUCCAUGACUUUGAACUUUGGAUGAUGUAGCGAGUUUUGCCGAACUGUCUUAGGAAUGUGAUUGAUAGCGUCACGGGCUGCACAUUGGAUGUGGUGGAAGGGAUGACCAGGCUGUCUGUUGGAAGCUUCUCGAUUUUUGCUUGUGCUUGAGGACUGUCGGAGCUUAGGUGCUUCGUAUGUGGAGUGUGGAUCGACAUGGUGAUACGUUUUGAUUGUUGCCUCGUUAAAAACCUUUUACUAAGAAAAACCCGAUGGGAAAAAACGUAGUAAAGGAAAAGAGUGCAACGCGUAUCGAAUUUUCGGACUGUUACCUUGGAAAGGAGAUUAAGUUCGUAAAGUUUUCCCGAAAAACUGUUCAUGAUAAAUUUUUCGAAAGUUUUUCCCGAGAAAACUGUUAAGUUAAGUCUUUCAAAGGUUUUUUCCAAAAAAUUGUUUAAGUUAAAUUUUUCCGAAAAUUUUCGAAGGGAGUGGCACCUAAUGCCGAGCUACUUGUAGCAUACCAUGAUGCCGAGCUACUUGUAGGUGGGCUUGGUGCCGAGCUACUUGUAUAGCUCUUCCGAAAAACUGUUCAAGUUAAGUUUUUCGAAGGUUUUUCCGAAAAACUGUUUCAGUCAAGUUUUUCCGAAAAUUUUUGAAGGGAGUGGCACCUAAUGCCGAGCUACUUGUAGCAUGGCAUGAUGCCGAGCUACUUGUAUGCUGGCUGGUGCCGAGCUACUUGUUUAGCUCUUCCGAAAAACUGUUCAAGUUAAGUUUUUCGAAGGUUUUUCCGAAACACUGUUUAAGUCAAAUUUUUCCGAAAAUUUUCGAAGAGAGUUGCACCAAAUGCCGAGCUACUUGUAGCAUGGCAUGAUGCUGAGCUACUUGUAGGUGGGCUUGGUGCCGAGCUACUUGUAGGUGGGCUUGGUGCCGAGCUACUUGUAGGUGGGCUUGGUGCCGAGCUACUUGUAUAGCUCUUCCGAAAAAUUGUUCAAGUUAAGUUUUUCGAAGGUUUUUCCGAAAAACUGUUUAAGUUAAGUUUUUCCGAAAAUUUUUGAAGGGAGUGGCACCUAAUGCCGAGCUACUUGUAGCAUGACAUGAUGCCGAGCUACUUGUAUGCUGGCUGAUGCCGAGCUACUUGUUUAGCUCUUCCGAAAAACUGUUCAAGUUAAGUUUUUCGAAGGUUUUUCCGAAAAACUGUUUAAGUUAAGUUUUUCCGAAAAUUUUUGAAGGGAGUGGCACCUAAUUCCGAGCUACUUGUAGCAUGGCAUGAUGCCGAGCUACUUGUAUGCUGGCUGACGCCGAGCUACUUGUUUAGCUCUUCCGAAAAACUGUUCAAGUUAAGUUUUUCGAAGGUUUUUCCGAAAAACUGUUUAAGUCAAGUUUUUCCGAAAAUUUUCGAAGAGAGUUGCACCUAAUGCCGAGCUACUUGUAGCAUGGCAUGAUGCCGACCUACUUGUAGGUGGGCUUGGUGCCGAGCUACUUGUAUAGCUCUUCCGAAAAACUGUUCAAGUUAAAUUUUUCGAAGGUUUUUCCGAAAAACUGUUUAAGUUAAGUUUUUCCAAAAAUUUUUGAAGGGAGUGGCACCUAAUGCCGAGCUACUUGUAGCAUGGCAUGAUGCCGAGCUACUUGUAGCAUGGCAUGAUGCCGAGCUACUUGUAUGCUGGCUGGUGCCGAGCUACUUGUUUAGCUCUUCCGAAAAACUGUUCAAGUUAAGUUUUUCGAAGGUUUUUCCGAAAAACUGUUUAAGUCAAGUUUUUCCGAAAAUUUUCGAAGAGAGUUGCACCUAAUGCCGAGCUACUUGUAGCAUGGCAUGAUGCCGACCUACUUGUAGGUGGGCUUGGUGCCAAGCUACUUGUAUAGCUCUUCCGAAAAACUGUUCAAGUUAAGUUUUUCGAAGGUUUUUCCGAAAAACUGUUUAAGUUAAGUUUUUCCGAAAAUUUUUAUACGAGACCAAGAGAAAGAAAUCACGCCGAGCUACUUGUAGCGUGGCUCAAUGCCGAGCUACUUGUAGCGCAACGUGGUGUUGAGUUGUCCGCGCGGAUUUUUACCGAAAAACCGUUUGAGUUUAAGUUCUUCGAAGAUUUUCCGCGGAACUUAAGAGGGAGUUGCGAAUGCCGAGCUGCUUGCGUAAAGCUGGGCUAUUCGUACUUCGUCAAGUGUUUCGACUUUUUAUCGGGAUGAACAGUAAUUUUUACUGUUCAUGUACUGUUCAUGUACUGUUCACGGGACCCACUUUCGGUUUCUAUAAAGAAGAGCUUUCACUCUUACCUCAUUCCCACAAGUCUUUCAAUUCCUAAGGUAAGAAACUCUCUCCCUUCUCUCUUCUUUCUCUCUCUAGAUUAAACUUAAAGAACACCAAGAACACGAAGAACGCGAAGAAUGUUUUAAGAUUCAGAUAAAGAAUGACCUUUGAUCCAUGCUCGGAAGGAUAUAGCGUUCCUUGGGAUGAGAUGGGCUCCGUGCUCCUUGAGGGUAGGUCAUCCGACGAUGGUGAGAGUUCGUUUGGUUUCGGGUAUACGAACUCCGUUCCAACAUGGAAUGCCUCCGGCGUCCGAGUUAAGCUUGAAGAGCAUGAUGGAUCAUACGUGAUCCCGCAUGUUGCUGAAGAGUUUGUCCUGAGGAGUUGUGUCAAGAAGGAAGCUGAGCGUUUGCUUGAGAAGAACAUCCAAGACGAUGAUCCUCCAAGGCGAUUUCGCGAAGGAAAAUGCAGGAAAGACAUAGAGUCUUCGGGGAAAAGUUUGUGUGGUGAAGCAAGUAUGAAGAGGCUCUGAUCUUUGUUUUGUUUUCCCGAAGGGGUUGAACUCGUGGUUCCUGGUCCGGAGGAUCGUUAUCAUAACCCUCCUCCCGGUUGUUUUACUGUGUUCGAGACGUAUUUCGAUUCCUGUUUCCUGACCUUUCCGAUCCCCUCACUCAUACUGCAAUUCCUUGCGAUGUAUGGUUUGGCGAUGGGUCAGGUAGCCCCUAGAGGUUUAAGGACUUUGGUGGGAACUAUCACCUUGUGCUUAGAACGCGGUAUAGAGAUCGGGACUUGGCACCUCAUGACGCUCUUCGAGGUGAAAGCGUGCAAAGUUCCCUUGUCAUACUAUGUUUCGCCUAAACAAGGCAAGACGCUUUUCGUGGAGCAUCCUAGUAAAGAAGAACCUUGGAAAGACUACUUCUUUUUCGUUAAGGUCAAUCCGUUCUCGGUUGAUCCUUGGUUCAUAAGCGAGAUGGUGACUGGAUGGUCGAAAAUUGGUAGCUAACUCUUGGUUGGCUGGGGUGUCGAUAUGAUUUGCUUGUAAUAAACUUGCGGAAGUUCUGAUUAAGUUGUCGUGUUCUUGUUUUGCAGGUCGUCCUGCUGUUGACGCCAUUCCUGCGAAUCUCUACAAGGUCUGGAUUGCGCUGAUUGCUAAGGGAGAGAUCCAUUGGGAUUCUUUUUCGUUUAAGAGAGCCUUUAAAGCUAGGUCCCGAGAGAAAGAACUUUGCCUUUUCGACUAUUCGACUGAUCCUCCGAAAAGGAUGAGCAAAGAAAGAUCAAUCGUUGGCCAGAUGCGAGAGCAAGAAAAGGCCUUCAUCGAGGCGGGCAACGUUGCGCCUCAAUGUGAAGAAGUUGAAGAGGGAGAGAUCCCCACUGCUGUUGAUGAGUGUCCAUCGACUUUGGACAAGGGCAAAGGGAUCGCCCUGAAUGAUGAGAAAUCUCCAGUCAAGAAGAAGAAGAAGAGAAGGAGCAAGGCCCCAGAGUUCGAGUUCGUGGCGCCUGAUUCUGUCAAGGAUGGCAAUGUUGCUGCUCCAGGCGAGCUACUUGGUGCUUUCCGUCCUCGAGGAGCUUCGACUGCUCCCGUUGGCGAGUUUCGGAAGAAGAAAGUUUUCGAGAAGGUUGCGCGCCAAGGUUUCGAGGUAAGCUCAAGUCAUAAUGCUGUAAUCUUUUGAUUCGUUUCAAGUUUCUGACUUUGCCUUGAUACCUUUUGUAGUUCCUUGCCCAGCUGACUGGUAUGGCCAGCGGAUACGAGGCUGAUUCUGCGCAAUGGGAAAGUCGGAUUGCGGAAUCAAAAAAGAUCGCUGAUGAGAGCGCAGCUGAGGCAGCUCGAUUGAAGGAGGAGUUUGAGAAGGCAAAGGUUGCCCAUGCUGAGGAGCUGGACCGUGUGAAGGCCGAGCUCCUUAAAGAGAAGAAAGAAUGGGCGAGGAGGCUACUCAAAGCCUCCCAGCAAGAGAAGACGCUCUUGGUGAAGAAGUAUCGCCAAAGAGGUGAUAGUGCGAGAGCUUUGGUUAGCCAGAUUGAGGAAGCUCAUGAGGAAUUGAUCCUGUCUGAGGUUGUGAAGGCUAACUUGGAUCUGUAUGACUUGAUGCAAUCUGGGGAUCAGCCCGAGAUCGCAAGUUACAAGGAGCUUUUGGAUGAUGGCAAGGUAAGGUAUGCUGACACGAGGGUCAACUUCCAGCGUAUGAUGGAAACGCUCAAGGACUAUCUGGUUGCUUCUCCACAAGCUCAGACGUUCAGCCCAGUUUUCGGAGCGGAUUCGAUGAGGAAAGCUGCCAGUGAAGUCGGCAUUUCGAACAUGUCGGGAUCGAUGGAGGGAGAUCCAGGGCUUGAGGAGUUUAUCUCCAGCCUAGCUGCCGAGGAUCGCGACUGAGGCGAUUUCUCACCUUGUAAUUUGUUGGCUCUUGUCCGGCCGUUUCAGUUUCUAAGACUUUGAUAUGUAUGCCCUUUGUGUGGGCCUUUAUUUAGUCGGGUUUGUUCCUGACAGUUGUAUUGACUCUUUUAUGUUUCUAUGCAUCUUCAGAAUUUUUAGCUGCUGGUUCGUAUGCAUAUGUUAGACCAAUGUUUGCUUGUUUGAAGUAUGGAUAGGAUUUCGUUGGUUUGCUGUAGGAGAGUAGAGUAGUUCGAAGUUUCAUACUUACUCUUGAUUCCUAAGCGCUGUUUAUGAUUGUGAUGAAUUUAGCGUUGGUAUUUCGUCAGCAGAGUCUUGUCAUGCUUUUGUAUGACGAAAAUAUGUUUGCGUAUUGAUACGUUGAUGAUGUUAUGCCAGUGCUGCUCGGAAGCGUCUUGGCUGGGCUUACGAUAGGUUAGUGUUUAUGGAAACUAAGCUAUGCGUGUGUCUGGUUUUAGGAAAUGCGGGGAUUCCGUCUUACCUCUCCGUUUUUCGACGUUUGAAACACUUUACAAUCUCGUCUAGUGGUAUUCUAGAUUGUGUUUCCGAGAUGUUGAAGACCAGUGUGCCUUGCUGACGGCGCUUACCGGGUUGAUGGAUUUGCAGUGAGGGUUAGGGCAGUGCGAGUCUUUACUAGCUGGCAUGCCUGUCUCAAAGUCAAACCUAAGAACAUCGUCCAGGAUAUACCUCUCGGAUGUUAAGUUAGGAUAUACCUAACCCCAUUUAUAUAGCGCGCUGUUAAUAUGCCCGUGCACAGGCGUCACUGAACCUUUGCCCAUACAGAGCAUCAGUUGAAUCCUUAAAAGGACAAUAAAUCGUGCUUGUUGUGGCCAGCAACAAGCGAGUUUUGGAGUAGAUGUUGGAUAUCGGAAACCUUGUAGACGUGUUUAAGGGAAACGUCAAGUUUGAUAUGCCUUAGUUAUCGAGAACUGAUCCAAAAGUUUUCCUUAGGCGAUCGUUCUGGAAACUGUGAAUUCGGAAAUCCUUUAUUGCUUGGAAUUCGGAAAUUUAAUCUGAAACUUAGAAUUUUUCUGAAAAACUCGGAACCUAUCUAGACCUUACAGUCUUUUAAGUUCGGAAUUAUCGUAAAAACUCGAAGCUUACCCUAAAUUCGGAACCCUUUGCAUUUAGAAUUCAGAAUUUACUGAUUCUUUAAGAUCAAAAAGUCAAAGUUUUCGUUUUUUCGGAUUCUCGAAACUGUCAAUGAUGGUGUGAAUAGCGAUGAGUAUGCGAGUGGUGAUGAGUUGCAUACACUCCCACUCCCCCCUUUUUUGUUUUGGGGGGACAGCUGCACCGAAAGAUCGGUUGCCUACGUACCUCUUUCGAGGAUCAAGCCGUCUCGUAGUUCAGUUUGUUUCGGAAACGUUUUUUUUUUUUUUUUUUUUUUAUUAUUAUUUUUUUUUGCGGAACUACUUUCGGGUUGUUCGAUGUUUAAACCCGAAGUGGUGGCGCAAAUUUUUGUUUUGAAGAUAGGAUGGAGACUAAGUCUCCAUGUCCUGAGCUUGAGAUUGCUCAGGUGCGUCCUUGGAUGGCUUAGGAUGGGUUUGGGAAGUUCUAGCUUCCUGAAUUGGUUGUGUGGUUGCGGGAACUUCCUUUGGAGUCUCUUUCUCGGAAAUUUCUUUCGGAGCUUCUUUUGCGAGACUUGGUUUUGUUUUCUUUCGUUUGGUCGGAGAUUCCUCCGAAAUGUGGAGUUUCCGGAAUUUGUGUUCAGCUAUGAAACAAACUCGGGAUUCCUUCUGAUUUCCCCAAACGGUUUUUAUGCCUGAUUUCGUUGGAAAUUUCAGGCAUAAAUGGUAUGUGGAGGGGAUAGCGCGCAUGGAGUUUAUCCAGGGUAUCCCCAUGAUAACGUUGUAGAUAGCUGGAUGGUCAGCUACAACAAAGUUCACGACCUUGGUCACUCCUCCUGCCUGGACAGGGAGUCGGAUGUUCCCUAAGGUCAUGGUAGUUUCACUCGUGAAACCUGUCAAAGGUUUUGGUAUGGGUUCGAUUUCGGAGAAGUCAAUGUCCAUUCUUUGGAGGAUAACAUCGACUGAACUCCCUGUGUCAAUCAGGACUCUUGCGACAUUGACAUCGCUUAUUACCAGCUGAACCACGAGUGGAUCAUUGUGAGGAUGCUGGAUUUCGGCCGCGUCUUCCUCCUCGAAGGUGAUUUGGAAGUCAUCGCAGGGCGCAGGUUGCGGCCAGCUUUUCGCAGUUUCUGCCUGCCUUUGAUAGUCUUUGAGGGCAGAAAUAGUGUCUGGGCAGUACUGAGAUCCGCCCAUAAUCAUGAAGACCUUCCUGCGGCUGUUCGCCCCAGUAGGUUCCUCAUUUCUUCUUCCGCGCUUCGGAGCUUCCGGGGGAGGUCCUUCUGGAGUCUGCCCGGGUUGCUCGUCCGUGCUUUCUUCUUGCUGAUCGGGUUCCUCGCGUGUUUCCAUCACCAGGAACUUUGAUAUGUCUCCGAGCUCCCCAGCUAGGAGCCUCUCUGUUAGUCUGGAUCCGAGAGUGCGCCAAUUCAAGGUNNNNNNNNNNNNNNNNNNNNNNNNNNNNNNNNNNNNNNNNNNNNNNNNNNNNNNNNNNNNNNNNNNNNNNNNNNNNNNCGACCAGCCCCCCAUUGUGGCUUGGGCGGUCCUCCAGGGGACGGCCCUGUUUCCACUUGAUAGUUGUGAGCUCCGCCCUUUGUUUCGAAGUUCACGUAUGAGCUCCCCUUCCUGCCCGAAGAAGUGCUAGGAGCUGAUGGUGUGCUCUUACUUGGAGGUUUCGUCCGGUGCUUCCGUUCGCUUGCUCGGAUGUCCUCCUCAAGCUUGAUGAAUCCAGAAGCUCGAUGGAGAGCAUCUUGGAUUGUCGGUGGUGGGUUGAGCGUCAUCUCCUCGCGGAAACAAGACUCGUACCACAAUGACCUCUUUAGGGCCUCAAGUGCGGAUCUGUCGCUCACUCCGUCGAUUUUUGAGACUACAGCCUUGAACCGAUCUAUGAAUUUCUUCAAAGAUUCGGUCUGGCCUUGAGUGAUCGACCAGAGAUCAGCGUCUGAGGUCUCUUGGGUGAUGUACAUGGAGUAUUGUUUGAGGAAAGCCUUGGACAACUGUGAGAAGUUGUCGAUGGAAUCCCUUUCGAGUUUUGAGAACCACUCGAGGGCGUCAUCCUUGAGGUUCUCGACGAACAGGAGGCAGUAACCUGCGUCCUCUUCUUCUUUUCUGAACCUCGCGCGUCCCAUGGCGAUCCUAAACGAUGUUAGGUGCGCCUUAGGAUCAGUGGUUCCAUUGUAAGGUUUGAUCUUAACCUUUCCGGGAUCCGAAAGCCUAGUUUGGGUGACUCGGUCCGUGAAAGGAGUUUUCUGAGCCUCUUCGAGGACACGCUCGAUUUCUGGGGCAUCGCUGGUCACUCGAUGGACUUGAGACUUCAUUCUCUUCAUCUCAUCGGCUGUUUGGUUCAGCUUUCUACGCAACUCAUCGAAUUGGCUUUCGCCAAUUGCCCGCUGGAAAUCGCCAUCGUGUGCUCGAUGAGCCUCCUCACGUUCUCGCAAGAUUGCGAGUUCUUCUUCGGUAAGAUCCUCUUCACGGUCUGAGAGAUCAACCACAUCGUCGGAUCGAGAGUUGUUGUUCUGACCCUCGGAAUUAGGGUUUCCCUCAGCGCGUGUUUCAGUGUCUACCGUGCUUGUUGUUGGUGCGUCCAAAAGGGGCCGCAACAAUGGUGGAGCAGUAGGGUUGAUCCUGCGAGAGGAUGGAGUUCGGAAAGAACUUCCCCGCGGAUCACGCCUCAAAGUUCCUGAGCCAACAGGAGUAGCGAAAUCGAGACGCUUUCUCAAAAGAGAAGCUCUGGAUUCCUUUUCCUUACGGAGAUUCUCGACUUGUUGGGUCAAGGUCUCGGUAAGUUUCUCUUGCUCUUGGUUUCUUUUCUCAAGAGCCAAGACAGAGGAUCGGAGCUCAGCUAUGGUAGCGUCGGCCGCUUUUCCUCCAUCUGGAUGCAGAGUUAGGGGUUCGUCUCCGGACAUGGGUUCUAGGGUUUUUCGACCUAGGGUUUUCGCUUUCAAGAGUAAAGAUUUCUCGAGCCCCCUCCUUCUAGCGCCAAAUUGUGGGAACCGAAAUCCACCGCAACGUAAAAUAGGAAAGUUUGAUUUGCGAGGAACCGAGAAUCUUGGGGAGAAAACGAAAAGCUAAGUGAAAAGAGAUCGAAAAAGGAAACUAGGGCUAAAAGAGAACGAACUUUAAAAGAGAAGAAGGAAAUUGCGUAUUGUAUUGAUAUUGGGAAUGUUUCGAAUAAUCCGAAUCCUCUUACAAGAGAGGAUAUCGAUCCUUAUUUAUACUAAAACAUCCUAAGUCCUAAACCACCUAACUUUCGAUGUGGGACUAAGGUCUUUUCCUUUUUCCGCCGACUUUUCCAUAAAUCUUCGAGUAAGCUCCAGAACCUUCCGUAAGUCGGUGUCUUCCUCCCAGCUCGGCCCAAAUAUGUCCUUCAUUCUUCGGUUUAGCGGUUUUCCUCAGUUUAGUUUAAGUUAUCGCGAUGUUUCGAGAAGUUUACGAAAACAUCGGUAUUUUCGCGGAAAGACUUGACGAAGAACGAAGUGAAAUCAUACGAAAUUGAAGAUGACAAGUAGCUCGGCAUUUCUUGAUGGCCAGCCAUGCCGAGCUACUUGCUUCCCAUCCAGCUGUGCGUUUAGCUCAGCAUUUAGUCGAGGAGGAAGUCCUCCGACUGUCCGCGGAACGCGUUUAGCUCAGCAUUUUGAGGUGCGGAGACCAUGGAACAUGCUUUACAAGUAGCUCCGCAUUUGAAAGUGAGCAAGUAGCUCGGCAUUUUUGUUUGGGCAAAAUGCCUAGCUACUUGUCAUGCCUAGCUACUUGUAAUUUGCUUCCCACGGCUGUUCGGUUCGGUACGCUUCAGCAUGAACGGGACAGACCUUACAAGUAGCUCGGCAUCUUUGAUUGAGCAAGUAGCUCGGCAUUUUUGGUUGGACAAAAUGCCUAGCUACUUGUCAUGCCUAGCUACUUGUAAUCCGUCCAUCUUCCGCUGUCCGGUUCGGUACGUUUCAGCACGAACAGGACAGUCUUUACAAGUAGCUCGGCAUUUCAAGCUGUGCAAGUAGCUCGGCAUUUUUGGUUGGACAAAAUGCCUAGCUACUUGUCAUGCCUAGCUACUUGUAAUUUGUUCAAAGAAUCGCGAUUCUUCCGAUUUUUCGGUUUAUCGGAAAAAUCGCUCAAAGAGUCGAAACGAUUAGCUCGGCACGUAAGUAGACAACAUGUAGCUCGGCAUGAAUGGUGAUGGAAAAUGCCGAGCUACUUGUCUCCUUGUGCCGAGCUACUUGUAUUUUUCCCGGAAAAUUGCAACUUUCGUCGGUUAAUCGGAAGAAUCUCCCGAAAGACGAAAUGGUCGGCUUAGCACAAAGGGAAUGUGCAUGUAGCUCGGCAUUUUUGGGCAAGCCAGAUGCCGAGCUACUUGUCUUCGCUUUGGCCCUGCUAAUCGUCUUUCGUUCAAUAAAUCGCGACUUUUUCGGUUUAUCGAAAAAAUCCCUUCCAGGAGGCGGAACGAGUAGCUCGGCAUGGAAGGAGAGCAAGUAGCUCGGCAUUUUGUGGUGACAGUGCAUGCCGAGCUACUUGUUUGUGCUCUCUCCUUCCUUGCCUCGCCAGUUGGUUCCUGCUCGAAGAAUCGCGACUUUUAUCGGUUUGUCGAUAAAACCUUUCGAAAAACAGUUUUAACGAUAAAAACAAUUCAAGAGAAUUAUUUUUCCGAAUUUCUUAUUCAAAUAUGGAAACUUUUUCCGAUAUUCAAAUAUUUUAGUCGUUAAUUCCGGAAAUGUGGGUUUUGACCCCAACAAGAAACACCUUACUUUUAGCUUCUUGCGGAUGUUAUUUGUGUUGUUGUACCUUUGUAAGACUUAUUUGUGUUUGUAAGAGAUAUUUUUUGGUACAACAGGUUCAAAUAAGUAGUUCAUGUGUGUCAGGAAACAAAUAGUUCUAGUUGUCCUACUAUUACCAUUGAAGUAGUACGAGUGGUCUUAAUAUUACCAAUAAAGUAGUCCAAGCAGUCCUAAUAUUACCACACAAGUAGUACUAGUUGUCUUAAUAUUACCAAUCCAGUACUUCUAGUUGUCCUACUAUUUGAUAUGAUCAUGGAUGAGGAGCUUAAACCAGUGCUUGAACCGGAUGAAGAAGAGCUUGUAGCUGAGGAUUCUCAAGGAGCUAAGGACGUGCUUGAAGUGCCAAAAUGACCUAUGACUCGAUCCAGAGCCAAGCUAUUCAGCCAAGCCAUUGGAGCAUUGUUAAGACGCUUGAGUAGGAGUGACGAAGAACCGAUCAAAACCACCUUGGUCGUGUUGCAAGCUCAAGUGCAUCAAUGAAUGGACAAGUGCUGCUUCAAGUACUCUUUUUCCCUUGCUUUGGUUUUGUCCCACUGGGUUUUCCAAAGAAAGUUUUUAAUGAGGCUUGGGCAUCACUUCACAUCAUCCAUUCAUUUAUCAAAGGCCGUAUUCAGGAAGACCUUCAUGAUUCGGGAAGCUUUACUCAUCUUUAGGAAGGCCUACCUAAGUCCGUACUUAGACACCUUUUUAAUAAGUCAAACGUGUACUUUUAAAUUUGAAUUUAGUCUUUGUGUGUUUAAUGUGGUCAAGUCUUGGAGCCUGUUCCAAGACUUGUUCGAUUUCCCACAUUUCUUCUUUCUUUCUCUUUAUAUUCUCUUGUAACUUCAUUUGAGAAAUCAAUCUAUCUUUUUUUAAUCAAAAUCUCUUUUAAAGUAUAGAUUCAAUCUUGUUGGUGUGUCAUAUCCAGCAAAACCCUUAGUUUCUCUUUGGUGUGUCAUAUCCAAUCUGAGACUAAGCCACGGUUUCAAGGACUAUUCCGCAAGUUCUUGGUUCAAACCAUUCGAUCAGCACUUGUUUCCAUCAUCACGGCUUCACAGCCAAAGUUAUCAUCAACGACUCAACCUCACAGAGUGACGAUCUCAGGGAGGAUCUUAUUACUAUUACCAUCACAACAGUACUAAUCGUCCUAAUAUUAUCCAUUGACUGUAUUGUUACAAAAAAUAAUGUAAAAUUACAUUUGUAAACAUUAUUCCACACCAAAUAGGCCAUUAAAACAUCAGAAUUUGACAUAAACUACAUAAAAUAAAUUUGAAUUUUUGGAAUUGGUUACAUGAUUAUCUUAUAUGUACAUGAAUUGCCUUAUACUUCUAAGGUUUGUUUAAGAAAAUUAUUCACACUAAUAUGACCAAUGAGUGAAAAUAAUCUUUUUAAAAAUUUUUAUGGUCUGGGAUUAUGUGAAAUGUAGUUUUUAUAGUAAAUAUUCUAAGUACUACUAAAAUUUUAAAUAUAAAGUAUGGUACUACUGAUUAAACUUUAAAAACCCCCAAAGUACAACUCUUUAGAAAAAAUACAACUACAAAACUGAUACUAUUACGUGACGAAAAGGCGGUGCACGUGACCAUUUGUCAGCGCGCACGUUUUUAAUUCAUUUGUCGGCAAGCACGUUUUUAAUUCAGUUAAAAUUUGACUAGUUGUACUAUUAUUGCUAGUGGUUUCAAUUCUUUAAGAUAGUUGUACCAAUAUUUCUAGUUAGACCUAAAAUUCAACAUAUAAUAAUAUAAAUAAAAUUCAACACAUAACUUAAAUAACACAAUUUACUCUUAAAAACAAACCACAACACAAAAUAGUCUUAAAACAUUUAACAAAAUACUCUAAAAAACAUGUAACUCACUUAUGAACAUAAAUAGUCUUUAAUCUAUAAGAAACCUUUUUACCCCUCUUUGGCCUAGGAGAUUUAGCUUUCUCAAUCCAUUUCUUCACCAUCUUCGUGAUUCUAGGACAUUAUUGUCGCGUUUUCGGGAGCGGUUGAUUUGGGUAACCUUACAAAAAAAAGAUCAUUAAGUUUUAUGAAAAUUAAAAAAAUGUCAUAAUGUAAAAAUGAACCAUUUCUUACCAAAGAUUUCAUCUGUAAUCUUCUUCUCUUUAGCUAGAGAAGCCUCCUUCUCCUCACCUACUCCUUUAGCCUCCUCCUCCUCCUCCUCCUCCUCCUUCUCCUCACCUUCUCAUUUAGCCUCCUCCUCCUUCUCCUUCUCUUCACCAUUAGUACAAUUUUGCCUAUAUCUCCAAAAUAAUCUCAAAUUGCUACCAAAUUCAACAAUUCAAGACAUUAAUAUCCAUAUAUAAUUCAUAUACUAUUAAUACAAAUAUGUCUGAUUUAACUAAUUUUAAAUUUUUUUAAUUUAGUUCACUAAUAUAUAUAAGCUUUUUAAUAUGUUUAUAAAUGUUCUAUAGCCUAUUUCAUAUGAAAAUUUCGAAUAAAGAAAAAGUUGAGUGCAACCCACUUUUGGUUGGUUUUAGAUAGUAAAUAACUAAAACCAUCGAGGGUAUAAGUGAGUUUUAUUUCUUUUUUUAUUAAUAAAAAACAACCUAAUCCUUCAAACGGAACUCUUCACCUAACCCUUAGGAAGAUUUUGACACAAGCCUCCGGCAUCCUUAAUCACGAGGUCACCUCGAAGAUUCUCUUCCCACAACAAACAUGCAGCCCAACCCACUUCUCUAGGUCCACCUUUUCUGGAACCUAGACUCUGAUACCACUGUGGGGCUUUUUUAAAGCUAUGUCCAAUUCUGUCCAUUAGUAUGAUAUUGUCCACUUAGGGCCCAAGUGGCAAAGCCCACACGGAUUUGCUUUUGGGCUCAUUCCCAAAAGCCCUCAUACUAAUCAGAGUUGAACACUACUUAUAUAUUUGACACUUUAUGUCUAAACUUCCGAUGUGGGACUUGGAUUGUAUCCCAACAGCUACUAGAGCUUGAUCUUUAGGGCUAUAACUCAAUAAUUCUCCACCUAGCCGUAACAGAUCGAAGUAGCCUUACCUGAGAAAUGAGAUAGAUAGCUGAUCUAGUAUCCGGAUUCCACUCUCGGUGCCUGAGCUUUCCUUACUCAGACUUCACUCUCAGUAAGUUCAGAGCUGAUUUAACUUACUGAUUGGAAGUAUCUUGGUGAAAAUAUCAGCAGGAUUCCUCAAUGUUGAUAUCUUCGAAACCGCAAUUAACCCAUCCUUGAUGAUCUCUCGUAUCUUGUGAUACUUAACAUCGACAUGCUUGGUCCUUUCAUGAUGAACAUUGUUCUUAGACAGAGCUAUUGCACUUUGAGAGUCACAAAAGAUCUCAACACACUUUUGAUCAUAACCAAACUCUUUCAGUAACCCCUUAAGCCACAAAGCUUCUUUUGCUGCAUCAGUUAACGCCAUGUAUUCAGCCUCCAUGGUUGAUAAUGCCACAACCUUUUGCAAACACGAUUUCCAACUGAUAGUGUUGCCUCUUAAUGUGGAUACAACUCCACUGAUGGACCUCCUCUUAUCCAAAUCCGCAGCAUAAUCAGAAUCACAAUACCCUUUAAGAACAAAUUCAGAAUCUUUCUUGUAACACAACUUGUUUCUCAAUGUACCUUUGAUGUGCAUCAACACCCACUUUACUCAUAACCAAUGCUCUCUGAUCGGAUUCUCCAUGAAUCUACUUAUGAUUCCAACCAGAUAUGCCAAAUCAGUCGUAUUCCAAUCAUAGAGUACAUUAUACUCCCCACCGCAUUAGAGUAUGGUAUUGACCUUAUGUACUCUUUUUCUUCGAGUAAUUGAGCAUCUGUUGCAGCUCUCAUCUUCAAAUGAGCCCCUAAUUGUGUAGCUACAUCCUUAGCUUGUUCCAUUUUAUACAGCUCCAACACUUUUUCAAGGUAACCUUCUUGAGAAAGCCAUAACUUUCCAGCAGCUCGAUCUUUAGUGAUUUCCAUCCCGAGAAUCUUCUUGGCUGCUCCCAAGUCCUUCAUCUCGAACUUGAUACUCAGUUUCUGCUUCAGCUCUAAGACAACACCUUUGUCUUUUGUAACAACGAGCAUAUCAUCCACGUAAACGAGUAGAUAAACCUUUGAUCCAUCAGCAAGAAUCUUGAUAUAAGCACAGCUAUCCCUGAGACUUUGCGUGAAUCCAACCUCUUUCAUGUACCCAUCAAACUUCUGAUUCCAUUUGCGUGGGGAUUGCUUUAAACCAUAGAGAGACUUGUUCAGUAAACACACUUGAUUUGGCUUAAACUGAUCUUCGAAUCCUUCCAGAGCUUCUAUGUAGAUUUUCUCUUCUAAUUCACUAUGUAAAAAUGUUGUUUUUAUAUCUAACAGCUCCAAUUCAAGAUCCUCUUCAACAACAAUAGUAAGCAAAAUCCUUAUAGACACAUGCCUAACCACUGGUGCAAAGAUAUAUGUGUAAUCUACUCCCUUUCUUUGAGCAUACCUCUUGGCCACUAACCGUGCCUUAAACCUCGGUUCUUCUACUCCUGGAAUUCCAGACUUACGUUUGAAAAUCCACCGGCAUCCUAUAAUGCGUUGCCUUUAAGGCUUGUCUACAACAAUCUAGGUAUGAUUCUUCUUGAGUGAAUCUAUUUCCUCUCCCAUACCACCUUUCCAAAACUCCCAAUCUGCGUUACUACGAGCUUCUUUGUAGUUAGCAGGCUCUCUGGAGUCUCCAUCCACCGUAGUAACAAGAGCUUCGGCAUCAAAGAUGUCUUCUUCAUCGUAUGUGCCUUCACUGAAACAACCCUCAAUGUCAUACCUUCUAAGAGCCCUUAUCUCUCUUCUGCUUCUGUCUCUGACUAAAUGGUAACUAUCCGGUGAUUCUGCUCCACUGUCUCCACCUGAUUGAUCAUUCUCUGACCCCUGUUCCUCCUCUGAAACAAACUUAUCCUCUGAAUUCUGAUCAUUCUGAACCGUGCCACUUGAUGAUGCAUUCCCUGUUUCUAAACCAACUGAUUCUUGCAAAUCAUCUCCACCUGAAUCUGAAACAUUAUCACCCUCAAUAUGAAAAUCAAAAGCUAACUCUGUCUGUUCUAACUGACUAUCCUGAACAUGUUUCCCUUUCUGAAUCACAUCCUUGUAGACCACAUUCUCUUGAAAAACAACAUUCCUACUAAUCUAACACUUCUUCUCUUCUAACAACCACACCCUGUAGCCUUUUAUCCCUGUAGGAUAACCCAACAAAACCGCUUUCUUGGCUCGUGGUCUUAGCUUCCCCUCAUCACAAUGUGCAAAACAUAAGCAACCAAACCUCCUUAGAUAGCUAUACGUAGGUGGUCUCCCAAACCACUUCUUGUCUGGUAUCUCGGAAUUGAUUGCUGAUGAUGGUGUCUUGUUGAUCAAAGUCACUGCCGUUUGAGUUGCUUCUGCCCAGAAGACCUUUGGUAGUCCAGAAUCACUGAGCAUACUCCUCACCUUCUCCAUUAUAGUCCAAUUCAUCCUUUCUGCUACCCCAUUAUGUUGGGGUGUGUAUGCACAAGUCCUGUGCCUCACUAUCCCUUUAUCCUUACAGAAUUGAUUGAACAAUGAGUUACAGAACUCCAAACUGUUAUCAGUUCAAGAUUUUAAUCUUCUUCUCUGCUUGAUUCUCCACCAUUGUGCUCCAUUCCACAAAAAUUCCAAAAGCUUCAUCUUUAUGUUUGAGAAAAUAAACCCAUAUCUUCCUUGUAAAGUCAUCAAUAAAAGAGAUGAAGUAUUGAUACUUCCUAAGAGACAAUGGCACACUAGGAGCUCCCCACAAGUCUGAAUGAAUGUAGUCAAGUCUAUCCUUGGUGUCGUGAGUAGCCACCGAGAAACUAACCCUCUUAGCUUUUCCAUAAACACAGUCUUCACACAUUUCCAGCACUGACACUUUCCUUCUGUCUAAAAAGUAGUCUUCUAUGCCAUAACACUAUAUCAUCUGGUUUCCUUUCAGUGAUCAACGACUGGCUUACCUCAGCUCUUCCUUGAAGUAGAUAAAGCAUUUCAUGUCUCCUUCCAGUUAACAGAACUCUCUCAUCAUCUUGAACCCUGAGAAUACCAUUCUUGGAUCCGAAACUAUACCCUUUCUCUUCUAAUGUUCCCAUAGAAAUCAAGUUUCGAUCCAUUUCAGGAAGAUAUCUGACCUCUUUGAGCAAGAAAUAUGAUCCAUCAUGGUUUAUAAUCUUUAUAUUCCCAAUCCCUCUCACUCUUGAAGUCGUUUUGUUACCCAUCCUCACUGAUCCUCCACGGUCUUCAUCUAGAGUUUCAAACCACUCUUUCUUGUGUGUCAAUCCUUGCCUGCAACCUGAGUCCAUGAUCCACUCUACUUCCAAGUUUACACUUGAAGUAUAGUUUGCUUCUGAAACAUAAAAACCGUUUGCUUCAUUCUUGUUUUCCUUUACCAUUCCAGCUUCUCCUUUGCUACCACCUCCACCUUGUUGUCUGGAUUUGCCUAGUGACUUGCUCCUGCCGUUUGGACAAGAGUUUUUGAAAUGUCCUUCCUCUCCGCAGAUCCAACAACCUUUCUUAUUUCUUGACUUUGAGCGAGACUUCCUUGACGACUUGUCUAUGUUCUCAGAUCUUCCUAUGUUAUCUCCUUUAGCAUACAAGCUUUCUGAUGGAGUCUUAGAUCCUCUUGAACUUGACCCGUUGUCCAGUUCCUUCGAGUGAAUAGCUGCUAUUACCUCAUCCAGAGUCAACGUCAUCCUCCCUGAGCUGUAUCUCAGAGUGUCUUUCAGGUGCUCGAACUGUCGCGGUAGUGUGAUCAGAAGUAACACCGCAUGAUCUUCUUCAGAAACUGUAACAUCAAUAUCCUCAAGGUCUGAUAUGAGCUGUAGAAACGCAUCCACAUUGUAAACGCAUCCACAUUGUAAACAAAAAUGAUCCGCCUAGGCGCUAGGCUCUUAUGAACCGUGGCGAUUACCUUCUAAUCCGACUAGAAAAUCAAAAUGUUAUACUAAUAAAUUAUAACAUUUAUUAUUUAUAAAUUGUAAUAAUCCAUAUAUUAUAUCAUAAAAGCUUAAGAUAAUAGACUAAUAUGAAUUUUAUCAUUUAUAAAUUAUGAUAUUUCAUAUAUUUUGUUAUGUAUAUUCAGUAUAUUUUUUAUCUUGUAAACGACUAGACCGCUUAGUUAGAAAUCUAGGCUUACGAGUAGGCUCUCUAAGCACUAGGCAUCGGGUCACCGCCCGUUUAGCGCCUAGCGCUUUCUUGAACACUGACUAAUACUGAUACUGCCUUUCUUCCUCUCUACGCUACUAGAGCUUGAUCUUUAGGGCUAUAACUCAACACUCAAGUAUCUUAUCCUCUCCUUGUUUGUUUACUCAUCAUUUUUCCAGUCUUUUAUAUGCUCGUAUCUGAAACGGCACUGUGUUUGGGGUUCAAGGAGAAUUAUCUGACUGAUUAGAACUUGGAAUCACACGAUUCUUAGAUUGUAUUGUACAUUUUUCUUAGAAUAUAGUUGUUUGUUAAGUUAAUAUAACUUUAUUUUGAUCGGAUGUUCAUGCAUAUAACCGGGAAUAUGUGUUCCUUUGGUUUCUAUGAUUGAAUUUGUGUACUUUGGUUUUCAGGAUCAUUUUUGUUUUUUUUAAUAUAAUGUAAACUCACGUUCAUUGCUUCUGAUUUUUUUACAUUUUCACGAGUCAAAUUUUAGACCUAACUUUGCGGAAAGUCAGAUUUCUUAUGAUAUGCUUAUGGUAGUGGGCUCAUCCUUGGUUGAAUAGUGUGUUUUUUUUUUUGUAAGGCGUUCGAGUAGUUAGUUCUUUCAUUCGUUUAUUUUAUGGAUAUACUUAUGCUUGGGAGUUUCUACAGUUAUCCUGAGGCUUCGGAAGAGGAUCUGAAGAAAUGGGAAAGAUCAUAUCGGAAACUGUCUCCUGCGCACAAGGUAAUUUUUUGUUGCGUUCAGAGAAGAAUUAUAGUUCUUGUUAUUCCUUUCGGCAGGUUGUGUUAUUUGUUGCGUAAGACUAUCGAUAUUAUGUUAAUGUUUUACUGAUAUAGCAGAUUUUAGAGUUCGAAUUGCGUACAUACGAUUAGCAGUCACGGAUAGUUUUGUUAAGAGAUAUGAUAUCAAGACUGGUUGAUUAUUAGUCGAAUCUUCUUUGUUUGUUUAUAAUUACUAGGAGUGAAUCCGCGCAUGCGCGGGUUCUCUUUCUUAUAUUUGUUAUUUAUUUAUUUAUUUUUUUGACAUUAUUUUUAUGUUUAUGUCAAUGUAUUUUCUUGAAAAAACUUAUAAUCUUGUGUAAAUUUGGUUUUUAAUUUAUUUUUUUUAUAUAAUAGCUUGUUUUGAUUAUUAAUCUAUUCAUGCGUUUCUAAUAUCUUUCAUACAUCAUAUUAUAAAUAUUUUUCAUUCAUAUUAUCAUCUAAAUCCUAAAUCACAUUAAUUCGUUAAUUUUUUUAUUUACUAUUUUAAGUGUUUUCACAAAUAUUUCACUUUAUCCAUUUUUCAUGGUUUUAAAAUUUUUAUAUUUAUAUGUCUUUGUUCCACUUAUAAUCAUGUGUAAAUUUGAUUUUUAAUUUAUUUUUUAUAUAAUAGCUUGUUUUGAUUAUUAAUCUAUUUAUGCGUUUCUAAUAUCUUUCAUACAUCAUAUUAUAAAUAUUUUUCAUUCAUAUUAUCAUCUAAAUCCUAAAUCACAUUAAUUCGUUAAUUUUUUUAUUUACUAUUUUAAGUGUUUUCACAAAUAUUUCACUUUAUCCAUUUUUCAUGGUUUUAAAUUUUUUAUAGUUAUAUGUUUUUGUUCCUCUUUUUCUUAUUUUGUGUCACAUUAUUCUCUUUACUUUUGGUAAUUGGUUACAUCGUUGAUUAUUAUUAAAUAUAUUUGUUUCCUAUAGUUUUAUAACUUUGAUUUUUCUUCUUCCAUUUUUAAGCUUUUUAAUUUUUAUUUUAAUCCAUAAUUUGGUAUUUUUCACUUUUAUAUUAAAAUAUGUUUAUCUUGUUUAAUUGAGAGUUAAUAUUUCAAAAAAACAUUAAAAAUGCAUUUAAAUCAUGUAUAUAUAAUACUGAUAUGUUUAUAAUAUUUCUUUGAAUUAAAUAUGAAUAUCAUUUAUUGUAUAUUUCCAUUUUAAUAAAUAUUUAAAUAGUUAAAUUUGAAUUAAAUGAUUUUAAAUUAAAUAAAUAAUUGUUGACACAUGUGAUAUUUUUAUUGGUUGGAAAACGCUGAGGUGUCAACGCAGGAGAACCCCCAUUCUCUCAUUAUAGUAUAUAAUAAAACUAACUGUCUUUACGGUUAAAAAAAAAAAAAAAAAAAAAACUAACUGUCUUCAGUGGGGCUUUUUUUUUUUUACCUCGUACAGGCAUUGGUACCCCAUUACCCUUUGAAGUUUCAGAGAUUAAGAAGGUGAAAUCUGUACUCAGUAGAUAAGUGUCUAGAUUCGUGUGACAAGCUUGCUUGGAUGACAUUUAGAAUAAAUAUUUGUUUCCAUUAUAGUUGCUUCUUCUUUUCUACUUUGGAUUAUUGAAGAAUCGUGAUGCUCCUAAACGUAUUCAUUAACUCGGUACUAAAAAAUGAAAGAAAUAUCACCAUAAUGAUAUCCCCUGGGGAAAUCGAGGUUAGGGACCGUCUAAACGUAUAACAAGCAAGGUUUCUGGUUUUGACAUCAAUGCAUUUUCAUCCUAUUAAAUAUGUGACUUCUCAGGCAUGAUUUUUGAAAAAUGGUUACACAGUAUGAUAACAUAUUUUAGAACUAAUGUGUGAGUUGUCAACUCUUAUAGUUUUCUUUUUCUCAUGUUGGAACACUAAACUCAAUAGUAGUAUGCCAUAUUGAACUUGAGAUAUUUAUAGCGCUUUGUGCUUGUCCCAGAUGUUCUAAGUUAGUCUGAUUUAAAAUACCGGUGAGUUAUUUGACUUUGUUGUUGCAGGUGUAUAUCGACGAAUUCAUACUUCAUAUUUAAUAUGCUUCAGGUCAGUAGCAGACAUUUCUUCUAAUAAUUCCCUUGGCGAUUUAAUUGCUUCAUGCUACUUAUUUGAUGUUGCGAUUCGUAAUUUUUAUGUCGAAAUGCUAGAAAUCCUAAGCAAUUCAUGUCAUGUAAUCAUAAUUACUUGGCAGGCUUUUGAGCCCCCUAUAGACUUGAGUCAGGAUUUUGAUGGUUGUGAUCAAGACUCAAAUAUUGAGUGUGCUCCAAAUGAGAAAUAUAUACUAGAGGAAAGCACGACUCUUCUUGUCAGCCUGCCUUGACAAAUAAUUGUACAUAUCAGGAAGAAAGUAACAGCAUGCGCGACUCAGUAAGACGAACUUUUUCUAUAGAGGUCAGAUCGAGACAUUGAAACUAUAUCCUUUUCAUUUAUAAUCAUUAAUUUAAUUUUAUAAAUGCAGGAGCUUCAGAGGAAGGAUGCUAAUGAUCAUCCCCCCCAAGAAUCACUCUGAAGACACAAAAUUCAAUGAUAAUAGAUGUGGUUGUGGUGGAGGCCAUUUAAAUCACGACCAUGGCAGUGUAAUGUCAACUCAUAUACUUUAAAACCUCAGUUUUCCAGAAACAGAGUUGAACAUCCUUAGCCGUGUGCAGAUUCUUUGGUUAUUGUUUGAGUUAUGUAAGGUUUUUAUGCUGUUGAGCAUCUAUAUUAGAUCCUAUGAAUAUUUCAUGGAAUUCUAGAUCAUAUCAAUAUUACCUAGUAUUCUGUCUUCAGAAAGCGUUCUAUUGUCAAGCUUAUGUUGGUUUUCUUAGUGGAAAAUAUUUCUGCGUAAUCUUCUUGUGAUUAUAAACUUAUCAUACCAAUUCAUGUGAUUUUUCUAAUUCUAAUGUUACUUCUUAAUUUUUUAUAGGCAUCAUUAUCAUCUCAUGAUUGGUUGGACCCAUCGUUACAGACACAUGUUCCUCUGGUUGAUGUAGAUAAGGUAUGGUUUUGAUGUUUAGUAUGGCUCAUGAAACCCAUUUUCUUCUUCCUAGGUAAUCAUAACUGUGUUAGAGCUCUCGUAGUUCAGAGAUAAAGGGAGUAAGGUGAAAUGUUAGAAUAUAUUUUUAAGCUCUGAUGAUCUGAUCCAUUAGGCGGUUUGGACAUGUCUAGGAGUCGACUAUCUCAUGAAUUUAAGUGAAUCCUGUUGAGCUUAAGUCCACAUUACAGCUUCAUAUGCACAUGAUAGAGGUGGCAGGCACACCCGUUGAAUUGCAUAUGUUUGUUGUUGUGUGCAGUGUUCAAAAAAACGCUAGGCGCUAAGCGGGCGGUGCCCCACUGCCUAGUGUCUAGAACGCCUAGUCGGAAGCCUAGAUUUUUAAUUAGGCGGCGUAAUCGUUUACAAGAUAAUAAAUAUAUUGAAUAUACAUAACAAAAUAUAUGAAAUAUCAUAAUUUAUAAGUAAUAAAAUUCAUAUUAGUUUAUUAUAUUAAGAUUUUAUGAUAUAAUAUAUGAAUUAUUAUAAUUUAUAAAUAAUAAAUGUUAUAAUAAUUUAUUAUUAUAAUAUUAUGAUUUUCUAGACGGAUUAAAAGGUAAUCGCCACGGUUCAUGAGAGUCUAGCGCCUAAGCGGCGCUUAAGCGGCCGUCUAGACCGCUUUUUUGAACACUGGUUGUGUGUUUCGCUCACCAAUCGAAUAUGUUGAAAUGCGCAUGGUUUUGUUUGUAUUCUAAUACAGGUUCGCUGUAUAAUAAGAAAUGCGCAGAGGUAACCGUAUUUCUUUUUGUCAUUUUAUUGUUACAAUGAUUUACUCAGAUUUUAUCGUCAAUAGCAUAUCGCAGAUUCAGUUGUUAAUUGUAUAUUACUUUUUACGUACAGGGUCAAAGAGAACGAGACCAAUGCUACAAGCCAAUACUUGACGAAUUUGAUUCUUUGUUUCCUGAUCGUCAGAAGGAGAGGUACAUCGUGCUACUGUUAUUUUUGACUUUUGAGUCUCUGACUUCUCCAAAUUUGGUGGCGCUGCAUAGAGAUAAAUUGGCAAAUUUUUAGUUCCUUAUUUGUCUAUUGAGAACUAACAAGCGAGAUAGACAAGACAACUAGUAUUUGGUUGAGGAUUUUAGUACCUACUGCAUUCACGGUGCUUACUGAUGCACCAUCCUAAUCACUUUAGGAACACGCAACCAUUCAACCGUGGCUUCCAAUUCACGUCAACCUUCGCUUAUUUCCUUUUUAUGGAGUUUUGUUUUCUCUUUCUAUUAUUUGGAUUAUUUCCUUUUCGUUUUAGUAUUCCUAUUUUAAUAAGGAAAGUCGUUUGUGACCGACCUUGAAGGCUUAUAUAAAUCCAUAGCUAUGACUUUUUAGAAUUCAGUUUUUGAAGUUAUAAAAUCGAGAGUUAUCUCUUUUGCCUUAUUUUGAUUUGAUUUAGUUCAUCAAUCCAGGAAGCCUUGAUUUGAUUUGAUUCAAUUCAUCAAAUUAAGAAGUCAGGUCUCUAGAGAUUGUCAAAUCCCUAUAUUGAACUGAAUUAUCAAACCCUACGCUGCGCCAGGUUAGUAUCAGAGCUUUGCUAUGUUCCAUUACGAUGCCGAGAGAAAAAGGAAACGCAGCCCCAACGGAGGCUGAACUCAACCGUUAAGCUAUUGUGGAGAUUCAGGAGCAGAUGCAUGCAAUGGCUACAGCCAUGCAGGUGCUUGUCGUACAACGACCACCGCCACCGGUGGCAGCUCCCGUUGCACCCGUUGACGAAGACGACGAGGAAGAUGAAAACCCGUUUGCGGCACUCCGCGACAAUCCUGCGAUCCAACACCUUCCUGUUAAUGAUUUCAAUUGGGAGAAUGGAUUUAAAUCAGAGAUUCCAGAGUUUCAUGGUGGACCAACGGCAGAGGAGCUGCUUGAUUGGAUCGUCACCAUGGAAGAGAUUAUGGAGUUCAAACAUGUCCCCCUGGAUCGUUGUGUCCCUGUCCUUGCUAUGCGUUUUCGGGGCAGAGCGACAGCUUGGUGGGCUCAACUCAAAGCAACACGUACUCGUUUGGGCAAGCCGAAAGUGCUGUCAUGGGAAAAGCUGAAAUCUAAGAUGAGAAAGACCUUCUUACCGUACAACUACGAUCAAGUCAUGUUUCAACGUCUUCACAAUUUACGUCAAGGAUCGAGUACUGUGUUGCAGAUUACGCGACCGAAUUUUUUUUGAUUCUUACUCGUGUUGAUAUUCAGGAUUCUGAACAUCAGCUUGUGGCUCGAUUCGUUGCGGGUCUGCGUCAGCAAAACCAGCAUACCAUUAAUCUGUUCAACCCACUUACGAUUUCGGAAGCUCAUCAACAAGCUUUAACCAUUGAAGCUCAGACGAGGAGCAAUUAUUCGUCGUGGACGGCCUCUCGUCCGUCGCGCAGCUCUCCGAUUCUCUCGCCUCAACAACCAGCGGAAGAAUCAUCUCAGAAACCGGAAACAGCUCUUGUCCUAUCGCUGACAAUCGUCCAUCUCGGCCAAGUUCCCUUCACUGUUUCUCUUGUGGUGAAAUUGGUCAUCGCCAGUCUAAUUGCCCAACACGUAAUCGAAGAAGGCUUCUUCUUGAUGUUGCUGGUAACGACGUGGAGGUUGUCUAUGAUGAAGAGUUACCAGAGGUCGCAGCAAACACGGAGGUUUUAACCGCUGAUGUUGGUACUGCACUGAUGUUUCGUCGUGUUUGGUUAGCUCCUCGUGGACCAGAUGAGCCUCCUCAAUGGCAUAAUCUAUUUCAUUACAAAUGUACUGUGGAGGGAAAGGUUUGCAAUCUUAUUGUUGAUUCCGGGAGUAGCGAAAACAUAGUAGCGGAAGAAGUUGUUAAUAAACUUCAUCUUCCGAUGGAACAGCGCCCUUUUCCAUAUAAGCUCGGCUGGUUGGAUAAGAAAACCGACGUCUUGACCACUCGUCGUGCUUUGAUUUCCUUCUCUAUUGGUAAUAGUUACAAGGAUCAGUUACACUUUGAUGUUGCUCCCAUGGAUGCUUGUCAUCUUCUUUUCGGGCGCCCUUGGUUAUACGAUCGCCGGGUUCAACAUGAUGGUUUCCUCAACACGUAUAGUUUUCGUUUUCAAGAGCGCAACUUUACGUUACAACCAUCUUUACCAGAACCGCACGUUGCGUCCUCGCCUUCUGUCCUGGUUCUCCAACGCAAACCAUUUGAGACUACGAUGCACGUGGAAGGUCGGGUUUUGUUCUUGUUACCAACAGUAGCUUCGUCAACUGUCACUACGCCUAUUCCUUCCGACUUUGAGGCUCUUGUCAGUGAGCUCGCUGAUGUCUUUCCUGAUGAUUUUCCCUCUGGUUUACCUCCCCUUCGUGACAUUCAGCCUCGUAUUGAUUUAGUUCCUGAUGCACUUCUUCCUAAUCGACCGCACUAUCGUAUGAGUCCGGCGGAACAUGAAGAACUACGUCGUCAGGUCGAAGAGUUGGUCACCAAGGGUUUCUUACGUGAGAGUUUGAGCCCGUGUGCAGUCCCGGCCUUGCUUAUCCCUAAGAAAGAUGGUUCAUGGCGGAUAUGUGUGGAUAGUCGGGCCAUUAAUAAAAUCACUGUUCGGUACCGGUUCCCUAUUCCUCGUCUUGAUGAUUUGCUUGACCAAAUUGGUGCUGCUUCCAUCUUUUCCAAACUUUAUUUGAAAAGUGGAUAUCAUCAAAUUCGCAUCCGUCCCGGUGAUGAAUGGAAAACGGCAUUCAAAACAAGAGAAGGGCUUUUUGAGUGGCUUGUUAUGCCUUUUGGUUUGUCCAACACACCAAGUACCUUUAUGCGGGUUAUGAAUCAGGCACUUCGUCCAUUUAUCUGUAAGUUUGUGGUGGUUUACUUCGAUGAUAUAUUGAUCUUCAGUAUGUCGGUAAGGGAGCAUAUUGCACAUUUGCGGGAGGUGCUACUUGUUCUUCGGCGUGAUCACCUUUAUGCGACACUUAAGAAGUGUGAGUUCGGUUCUGAAACCGUUCACUUCCUUGGGUAUAUUGUCUCUGCUCGUGGGUUGGCUGUUGAUCCAAGCAAAGUGGAGGCUAUUCAGUCAUGGCCAACACCUACUACGCUGUCGGAGAUUCGAAGCUUUCAUGGGCUUGCGUCCUUUUACCGCCGUUUUGUUCCACAGUUUAGCAGUUUAAUGGCUCCUCUCACAGAUUGUAUACGCCGUGAUGGUCUGUUUUUGUGGACACCAGAAGCUGCGAGCCUUUGAGACGGUCAAACUUAAACUCGUCUCAGCCCCUAUUCUGGCUUUACCGGAUUUUUCGCAGGUCUUUGAGCUACAUAGUGAUGCC
rnacentral:lncRNA from 1 species